rnacentral:lncRNA from 1 species
GAUUGUGUGCUGUCAUAUUGCGCUUAAUCCAAUACUAACUAGCUCAAGAUUAUUUAUUUGUUGGAAUGAAAAUUGUUGCAUAAAACCAAUGAUGAGAUUUGUACAAAAUCAUGAAAAUGAAAAUUAGUAUGUCUUUUUGGCUAGCAACUUAUUAUUAUUCAUCUAAAAUGAUCAUUUGACAAGUUGUCAUGAGUACUUUUUCAUUGACUAGAAAGAUAUUUUCAUGCAUGAAAUCUUUAUAGAAAAUUGGUUCAGUUUGUCAUGCAAAUAAAAUGAGGGUAAUAAAUUAAUGGAAUGUAGCGGGGAAAUAAAACAGUGACAUCCAUGUCUUUUGGAAUCAAGACAAACAUCAAAGACAAGAUGAGGCAUUUCCCUACUCAGCAACAUAACGUUACUUUGAUAUUAAGUACGCCUGAUUAAGUAGUAGAUAAUUUACUUAUUUAGUCUUAAGUAGUUUAUGUAUUCACAAAAUUAGCAACCUACAAUGACCCAAGUGACAACCCACAAUGACACCAACAAGAGACUAAAACAUCACUAUACGAUCCAAAAUACUAAGACAUUGAGAAUAUAGAUUACUUCUUUUAUAAACAAGAGGUUGCUAUUUAAAGUGAAAGAUUUUAUCAAGAAAGUAUAGCGAAAGAUUGGCAGCCGUUAGAUGUGGGGAUUAGCGGAAAUCAUGUGUUGAUGAAGAUGAAAAUGAAAUAGGUGUGUUGAUAUAGUUGUAAACUGCUAUCGUGAAUGUCUCGUGAGAUAAGUUUUCAGAAUAAUUAGCAUUUUCCUACAAAUAAUUCAUUUAGUUUAUUUCUAGUCAAUUUAAGGUUUAACCAUUUAUAUUUAAAUUUUAACUAUCAUCUUUAAAGUGUGAGUCUCUCACAUCAUUAUAUAUAUCCAAAUAGAAUAUGUUACAUGACUUCAAAUCCAAAUCACUGUUGCAAAGACACUUUUGAUACAAAUUAAGAUUCAAUACAACUUGAUAUACUCUUUUUGAUACACAAGUUAUAUACACAUUGAUCCAGUCCCCCUCAUGAGGCCAACUAAUGACUUCGAUACCACUGACUUCGAAGAGCACUCAGAGCAACAAUAGAUUAAUUAUUUUGACCACUAAGAGAUCGGGAUCUUAUAUAUAUCACACUCAAAAUUAUUUACUGACAUAAACAUUUAUGAAUUGUUAAUCGGAAUUUUUCUUAAAAAUGAUUUACGAUAUCUCCGAUACAUAUUUUUAGCUUAUUUUCAUAAGACUUUGGUCAUUGAAAGUGUAUAUUAACUAAUAAAACAAAUAAUGAAAUCAAUUUUCUUUUACUCAUGUCAUAAGUUAAAUAACUGGAAUUUUAUUUUAUAUUAUCAUUGUCAUGUGUUUCCAAUGUCGUAUUAUUUCAAAUUAAAAAGAGAUCAUCAUACUCAAAAAUAAAUAAUUUAAGGAGAAUGUUAACUAAUCCCUCAAAGAUAUUGGUUAAUCAAUUAAAAUUGAAAUUUUUUAUGAAAAUAAAAACUUACAUUUUCAAAUUAAAAAAAAAUUAUUUAAAGAUUCCUUAACUAAUAAAUUAACAUUGAUUAAAAAGAAAAAGAAAAAAACAACAGGAUAUAGUUUGACCCAGUCAAAGAGUUGUCGCCUGAAGGGAGACUACCAUAGUACGGUACGGCUGAGCAGCAGGGAACAACCUGCUAAAAUACACCUAUGGGUAUAAUGCGCACUCACUUAAAAGAUCUGUCGCCAUGUCAUAAAAAAUACCCCUUUUGACUUGAGAGAAAGGGGAUGGAUGAAUGGGGAGGUGCCUUAAAUUGUGUGCCCAUUCUCAUUUUCCUACAAGACAAAAAUAUCUAGUGUCUUUUGAUGAAGAAAAUAAAAUUAAUUUCACUUUUUUUGAAGGAAAAUUAAUUUUAAUAAAAAUGGGAAGAAUGACUCCAAUCUAGAGGUGAUAAUAAGUCUCGUCAAGGCAGACUUUGAUAGGCCUAAGUUUGAUUUAUGAAAAAUUUGUAAGCUUGAGCUUGACAUAUAGAUUUUCAUAGGACUAUUUUUUUUUUUUUAUUUGAUCUAACUUAUUUAAAAGUUUGGUUUGAUCUAAAAGCUUAUUUACAGACCUAUUUCAUAUUAAAAUCAUUAAAUAGUGUCAAAUCAACAUAAAAACUUAUUUCAUUAUAAAACUUGUGUAUCAUUAUAUGGCCUUAAAUUGUAGGGCUUUAAAGCCUAUUUAAAAAGUCAAUUAUUUGAGUUGUUUCUCGAUUUUUAUGUUUAAUAUAAACUAUAUAUUGAUAUAAAUAAAAGAUAAGUUUUAAUAGUAUCCAUAAACGGACGACCUAUCUGGCUUCACUUGCUUUUUUGAUAGCAUAAAUCUAUCAUAUUUACUUCAACAAACUUUUUAAAAAUCCUAAACCAAACCUUUUUCAAAACCCUAUUAUUAUAACCUUUUUUACAUAGACUAAAAUUAAUGGUUAUUUAUUUAUAAGGUUACAAGGUUAAUAACAUAUUUCACCUUAUUAUUUAUUGAUUCAAUAAUAAAAAAGACAUUUGUUUGUGUAUAUGGUGUUUUAUGCAUGUUAGACAUUGUGUUUGUAAACUAAUAACAAGUGUAGCACAAAACAUGUGUGUCACAUUAAUAAUCAUUUAGUGCUUAUUGUUUGAUGACAUUAACUAUAACACAUAGUGUGUUUGAUGACGUAAAAGAAAUGCACAAAGUUUGCAUAAUGACUGCAUGGUGCUUGUUGUCUGUUGACAUCAAGAACAACACAUGAGCAUGUCAAGUACGAAUAUAACAAUGGCAGCUGAUUCAUUGUCUGUUGAGUUGAGGUGAAGCAUGCAAGUGUUAUUUGUAUAAGUAACUUUGACCAUGCAUGCUAUCACUUUAAUGUACUUUCAUCAAAUCUUUUAUGAAUGCUACAUAUAUAUGAUCUUUAUUUAAUUAAUAUAACUAAGGUAAGUAUAUCAAACGAACAAUAAAGUAUUAUGGUACCAUGGAGCAAGCAUCAUCUGGAGAUUCAUUGUCUGCUUGCUCAAGUCAAGCAUGUAAUAAAGUUAUGGUACAACCAACCUUCAUAUCUAGUACUAUUACAACACCUUAGGCAAUCAUCUCAACAAAACUAUUGAUUUCAUAUGAUAUUUUUUAUACAACUAGACAUAUAGUGUGUUUGGUAUUGUGGUCAAGUUACUUCAGACACAUCACCAUUCUCACAUCAAAAACAACUUUGGGAUGCGAGAAAAACGAUUAGAAGGUGAAUUGAAACAUAGUUAUUUCCUACGACUCUCUAAUUUGUUCUUUAUAUUCAAUAUCUCUCUAACAACGUUGACGAUUAUCAAAGAAUAUUCUAUAUAAAAUGAGGGAAAAAGUUAAGGGUGAAAUUGAAAAAGAAAAAUUUAAGAGAAAAAUCAAGUGAAUCCAUUCAUGUGAAAAUAAUACACUCAUUUGAAUUUAUUGCUCUUACAACAUGUCGCUGUAACAAAUCUCAACCAUUUGAUCACAAAUCAAUCGAGAUCAAGUAAACGUUGUUGAUAGCAAGUAAAUGGUUGAGAUCGUCUACUAUAUCAAAUUGUGUGAAUAAGCUAAUGCAAAGAACUGGAGUACAUAACACACACUCUCUUGAGUGUAAUAGCAAGUAUUAAAUUAACAAUCAUGUUACUUUCCAAUAUAUCCUAAAUUGAACAAAAACUCCUGUUUGAAAAUGGCGUAUUCAUUUAUUUGUAUAGCCUGUAUGAAAGUAAAAGGGGACAAACAAAAUUUAUCACUGCAACAAAUUUUGUACGGAUUGAAGGGGGGCCCUUUUGGGGGUUUGCUGCAGGGAGAAAAUUUAGAGAGAGAUUCUUUGCAGAAGAGAAAUAUGCAUAUAAUGGCAGAGAGGGCCAUGAGACGCAAGAGACAUAGAAAAAGACACAACAUGUAUAGGACAAGAUGCUUAAACAUUCAGAGACAUUUCUCCAUCAUUACUAUCCUAUUUCCAGCUCUGUUCAUUUCUACAGUCUAUGUGUGUCAUGCAAUCACCAAAUCCAUAUUAGAUACAAUAGCUCUGAACAAUUUCAAGUAUAUAAACGUGUAUACAUUAAUAUUAAUUCACAUCAUACAUGCACAUUUACAUUAUAUAGUAGGGUGCUGUUUAUGGUAGGAGGCUUGAAUAGGUCUCUCACAGUAGGAGAUAUUAAAAAGAUUGAUUUUUUUUUAUAACAAAAAUGGCAUGUGUUGCGGUUAGAUUGACGAAGAACACUGAUCUUACCAUAAUCCCUCCACACUAGAUUUUUUUUUCAUUUGGUAGAUCUAAGAGAGAGAGAGAGAGAGAGAGAGAGACGUGUAUUGUAGCAACUCCAUUGUUGUUGUUACACUUUCUGUUGAUUGCUAUACCUCCAACACAAUAAAUUCUCCUUCGUCGACCUUCAACAGCAAAUCGUCGUUUUUUUUCAACACCAACACGUCUUUUUUUGUUCUUUUUAUUCUAUUUUCAUUCGUAAUUUUUCAUUGACCAGCUUGUGUUCACAUCUGAACUUAAACACCAUCCCUCUCAAGAUCUGAGUUCUGUGAGAUUUUCCAUUCCGAUUUUGAUUGUUUUGUUGUGUAACAUUUGGUCUGGCGACGGAUUUAAUCGCUUUAAUCUGAGUUUAGUGAUGAAUAUGUGAACUUUGGGUUGAAUGAAUUGAAUAAUUGAAAAAUCAAUAUUUUCUGCAAUUUUGUUUUGAGGUGAAUUAGAUUAAAUGAAAUUUGAGUUUAAUGAAUGUUGUUUUCUCUAACUUUGGGUUGAUUAGAUUGGAUUAAGAUUUCCAAAAUUCGUCGUCGUUGUUGUGCGGUGCAUCGCGUUGUUGUUGUUGUUGUUGGGCGAGUAAGAGAUAUGGAGAGGGAAAGAGAAAGAUGAUGGAACAUAGUGUGAAUAUAAUGUUUAAAGAGUAUGAUAAUACUAUGGUCUUCAAAAGUUUUCAAGCACAUCCAAUGAUUGACAACAAUUUUAUAAAAAAAAAAAAAGUCAAGUCUUCUACUAUAGCCUUUGCCUAUAUAGUAGUGGUUAGGUACAGUUAUUAAAUCAUCAAUAUUUUUCUAGAAGUCUAUGUUUAAGUUGACAUAUGGUUUCAACAUCUUUCAAAUAUAAGUUACUUUAUAUUUAAGUUUGAUUAUAAAUUUGGUCUUUAUUUUAUUCAAUAUGAGAUUAUAUUUAGGUACCGUUUGGCCCGGCUAUUUUUCAGCUUUUCUACGUUUUUAAGGAGAAGUUAGGCCAAACACAAUAUCAAUAAAGUACCUUCGAAAAAGAGUACUUUUUUUAGAAUGCAUAAAAUUGAAUGGAAUGAGCUUUAACCAAAAGUUGUUGAAUGCUACUUCAAAAAACUAUUUCUCCCCAAUUUAUUUCACAAGCAUCUCUCUUCAACUCCCGCCGGCAACCUUUUGUUUUAUUUUUUCAAUACGCUUUUUUCAUCCUUUUUUUUUUUUUUUAACCGGUCCAUUUAAUUUUUUAAUGAGGUUCCAUUUAAGUUUAUUAUCUAUUUUUUUAAGGAAUUUUAUUAUCUUUUUAUCACUUAUAUAUUAAUUUCAAUAUCUUUUGAUCAUCACAACCACGCAAAUAUUUGUAUUCACGCUGUCAAUGAAUGACACCGAAUAUUUUUAUUCCCUUUCUUCAACCACGGAAAUACACACACGCAUUAGUGUUUAGAGUAAUACUUUAUGUUCCUCUUUCUGUUUUUUUUUUUUUUGUUAUGCUAAUGCGUAUAAUUUUUGUUAGUGUUGUGUAAUGCAUAUAAUUAUUUUUAUAAAAUUUUGAUUUUAAUUAAAAGUACAAGUGUAGUUGCCUAAAAAAAUUAUACUUAUAUAUAAUUUACACAUUUGUAUUGUAACAAACUAUGCAUAUCUUUUUCUUAUUAAAAAAACUAAACAUAUCUUUUUCAAUGACACCAGCAAUGUAACAAAUAUAAUAUUAUAUAUAUAAAUUCUUAUCUUUUUGACCAACACUAAAAAUAUGGUAUUCUUAUAACAAAAUUUGUUAUAGAGUAUAAUUGGAAAAGAAAAAACCAAUUAUUCUCAUUAUAUAUACACACAUAUACAUAUUAUAGAUAUGAUUGAGCGUGACGAAGAAAGCAAUAUAAAUGAAGAAAUCAGUUCAUAUAAUCCAGGAAGAGUGCAAGAUGGAGGCUACAUGAAUAAAGUUAGAAAUCAAAUAGGAGUUGCGUUGAUGGAGAGUAGAAAUAUUUGAGUUUGUGAUGAUUUAUGUCUUUAAAAAAAAAUGAUUAUUGUUUUUAAUUUUCCAAACUACUUUGAUAUUAUUUAUGUUAUUAUUUGAGCCUCCUUAAAUUAUUUAUCCUAUUCAAAUAUUUAACAAGUCGUUUAUAUGAUGAUACAAAUUUGUAUUCAUGUUACACAAAAUAAACGUCAUUGAGUAAAUAUAGUAUUGAUAAAAAUAUAUCUUUUAUAUUUUAAACAUUUUUUCCCUUCAAAAAAUAUUUUAGACAUUUUUUUAUUUAUUAUGUUAAUUCAUAAUGAAUUCAAAAUUUUUUUAUUUAUAGAUAAUGCAUAAAUAUAUGCAAGGUCCCGGGUUCGAACCCCAGACACCACCAAAAAAUAAUAAAUUCAAAAUUUUGUACAAUAUUUUGCCAAACAACUUUUAACUCAAAAAUAACUUUAGAACUAAAAAAAAAUAAAGAAACCAAACAGCUUUAACCUUUUUCUUAAAGAGCUUUAUUUUAACUUUGUUUUAAAGUAGCUUUUAGACCGAAAAAAAGCCUGGCCAAACGGUACCUUAAUCGUCCAAAUUUAGGCUGGUUCGGUGUAGUUUUUAAUUUGGUAACGGAGUCUGUAACCCUAAAAUUUGAUUGGACAUAUACUUAUCAUUCAAUUAUUUAAUGAUGUGUCAUAUUUAUGUAUUAGUUUAUCUAAAACUCAAAUCAAAUUUUGAAUGAGUUUUGACCACAUGAUACCGAUAUUCAACAAAAUUUUAGAAUGCUACCAUUUAGUUUUCUAUUUUAACAAAAAUUAAAUUUAAAUCUAGAAGACCCACUUAAAUAUUAUAAAUUUAAAAUUUAUAUAUUUAAUAAUAAUUAGAAUAACAUGGUUGAAAGUUGUGGUUGCAAAGAUGGCAGCAGACGGCUAAUAGAGUGGUGGUUAUAGUGGUGGCCAAAGUGUUGGUUAUAGUGGAAGGACUUUUGAGAAACUAAGAGUUCAAGAAAUUGUUUAAAUCAUAGACAUGAGUUGACUUAAAAGCAGAGAAAAUAGUGAUGAAAAAACUUUUAAGAAACUAAAAGUUUAAGGAAUUUUUUAUGGAGAUUAAAAUAAAAAGUUAGAAUAUUUAUACGAAGCAAAUACAUAUUUAACUCAUUAAUCUAAAAGCGCCAAAAAUAGAAGGAAUAAAUAACGACAAAUAAUAUUUAUUUUAAUUUGAGAGAACUGAAUAAUAUUUAUUGAUCCCUGUUGUAUCUUACAUGGUGAGAUUCUUCCACUUUACCACGAUCUAGAUUUGUGUUGGUCGAUUGAUUGCCAGCGAGUUAUUUGUUAUUCAGAUUCCUUGCAUAUGAUUAAGUCGGUUCACGAUCCACUUAAUAUGUUUCACAGGUUUGGUAACUUGAGUAGCUUAAUUAAGAAGCUCUUGAGUCUAAGAUUGAAUUGUUGAUUUGUGUCCGGUGAGAACGGAUGAGUGGCAACGGUGGCUGAUAAUGUUCCGGUACGACGGUAACGAUUUCCGGUUCAACGGCGUCAAGUCUUCGCGGUAGAACGAAAGGUCUGCAGGCAUGUUAGUAAUGGAACUGAGAAAGAGUGUGUAGAAAGUGAACCCUGAACAGCCCCCGAAAAGAAAAAUAUGUAGAAAGUGUUGUGAAAAGUGAAUCAUACCCAGGCACAGAUCUAGGUGGACUAAAUUGGGACAACUGCCCCCACUACUCUUCCGGUUAUAUUUGUUAAAAUUUUGAUGAUUAAACUAUUGCUUCCGUUAAAUGGAAAUUUAUAUCAUAAAAAAGAGUUUUGCUCAUUAAUUUUAUAAAAUCAACGUGUAAAUGCAUUUGAGAUGAAAUUUUGAAUAAUUUCUACCAUAUUUUAUAAAUAUAAAGACACGUAAAGAAAACUUUUAAUUUGUAGAUGUUGAUGAGUCUUUGAUUUUUCUAAUAUGGGAGCCCCUAAUAUGGACCCUUUUUAUUAAGGUCCACCCAUGGUCCUUAAUAAAUGACCGGUUUUAAUGGGUAAAAUCACUUCAUUUCCGGUUUACAUGGAUAUUAAUAUAACACAAAAAAAAAAAAAAAAAUUAAAGCAGGACAUGCCAUUAUUCAAUGUCUUCGUUUUCUCUCUCCUUCCACCAUUGUUUACGCAAGUGCUGCUUCAAUUCUUGAAUAUAAUAAUCAUCUUUUUUCAACUCAAAUGGUCCUUAAAUCUUUAAUCAAACUUAAGAAAAACCCAUCUUUAAUUUUCAUGGACAACGUAUGCAACUGGAUGCCCAAAGCCCCAAACCAUAUCCAACUUUUUCCAUUGGCAGAGUUUUAUUGAGAUCCACUCUUCCAUAAAUUUUAAACUAAAGUUGCUUAGUUUAAACAACUAUUUGUAAUUUCCUUCGUGUUGAGGUUAGGCAAAUUUAGCAUGUUUCUGCAGCUUAGAUUUGCUUGUUCUAGAAAAUGUCCUCUUUAAAGAGCUCGUGAGUAGAGAUUAAAAAGAAAUAGUCAUCCAUGGAGAUUAAAGAACAAGUUGCUAUUGUUUUUGUAAUUUGUAACUUUACGAUGUAUUCAUUUUGCUUUAGUAGAACGAAUACAUACACCUUAGUAGUUAAUGUAAAACCAUAUUCAGAAACUCGAUCCUUGCUAUUUCGUGAAACAAGACCUGCAAUCACUGAUCUUAUCCUUACUUGUUAAAUAGAUUCAUCAUGAAUAAAAGGAUAACACCUUAAGACAAUAAUUUGGGUCAGUUUUGUCAUUUAAAGGUUGUGCUCAAUAAACAAUUAAAUAUAAAUAAUUAAAUUAAAUGAAAGGAAAAUGUAUUCACCCACUAUAACCGGUAAUUUAUCAAGGACCAUGGGUGGACCUUAAUAAAAGGGGUCCAUAUCAGGGGCUCCCAUAAUAGGAUAGUGUUUUUUUUUUUUUAAAAAGAAUAGGAUAGUGUUUAUAAUCUCGAGUAUUUUGCUCAAUAAUAAAGAUGUUAUUAUAUAUCACUUUUACAUUGCUAAAAAUUUUCAAUAAAUAUCUAUCAUAUAAAGUCUUGCCAUUGCAAGUCAACAUAUUUGGAUCCAACACAGAUUAUACCUUAAGAGUGAAACAAGUGAUUAGGGAUGGUUAGAGGACACAUGUAGGGCAAUUCCGCGAGAGCGUGCUUCUGCGUAGCAUGGUGCACUUAAAUUGGCGUGCUCCCUCAAACGUGGAGCCUUAAGGCGAUGUGUCAUACCACGUGUUAACGUGUGAUUGGUAUUCUGACCGGUUCAGAACAAGAUUAAUUUAAGGUUAUUCAUCAUGGUCACCUAAACAUGAACACCUAAUUAACCAUUCAAUGGAAUAAGUAUAUAUAUUACGUAACAAAGUUGGUGUACUUUAAUAGCUUGUUCUUAAUUUUCUUCUUUUUUGAGCGUUAUUGCAAUCAAACUGCAAGUUAUAUUUAUGCUACAACUCCCUAGCUAGCUAGCUAGCUAGGUGGUACUAUGGAUUAAUUAGAUUGUGUAAGGAAGAAUAGGAUAAGAGCUGAGUUCAGAGAUUGCAUGGGUUGCAUGCUAGCGUGACAGUUUAAGCAUUUUUACCAUCUAUAUAAUAUGCUAUAUAUAUAGGUACUUCUUCUGUGUUCCUUUAUUUGAAGGGUGUGAUUUUGUUAUGGGUUAGGAAUAGACAGGUCAUUUUCGAUAGUCUGUAAACAAACACAGCCUAUCUAUGCUACCAGUUGUGAUAUAUUCGAGUUUAACUAAAGUCUAUUUGGCUACUAUUUCAUUUCAAAUCUAAUCAAAGAUUUAUGGAAGAUAGAUGCUAUUUAGAGUCAACGUGGAUUGUAGACUAAAAUCUAAUCUACUAAUUAUAGCAAGGUCAUGUUAACCGGUGCAUCCAGACACUAGUUAAGGAAACUAAAAAGAAAAUUUUAAAAUAAAAGUAACACUUUUUAUGUUUUUGAAUAGUACAGCACAAAUUUCAAUGUAAUAUUUAUUAUAUUUAACUCCUUAACCAGUGUCCGGAGGCACUAGAUAACGACACGGGUUAACAUUACCCAUAUUGUAAUCACAUAGUAUGACUUAUGAGUCGUUUGUCGCUGAAUUAAUUAGUAGUUCUUAUGUCAUGAUUAAAAUGAUUUAUAUAUUUCUCGACAUUUAAAAAAUCAAAUAUUAAUGCAUUUUUUACUUUUGCUGUUUGUUUCUUCAUAAAAACAUUUAUGCCCAAUUAAAAUUAUGUGGAAGUAUUCCAUGUUUACGAAGAUAUAGUACUAUUUUUAUAUGAACCAUAGACUCCCAGUUUCUUUUUUACAGCCAGAGUCCUAGUUAUACAACUUUUUUGAGAUUAUAUAUUAUUAUGAUUACGGUUUAACCAGUGACAGAUCUUGAAUAAAUUUAUUUGGGGUGCCAAAAAUGUAUGUAUUAUAUAUUAAACGGUUUCAAGUUAAAGCAAUUAGUAGAUAACAGGUCAAGUGGUUGGUUUUCCUGGAUUAUUGUGACGGGAAGAUGGUUCAAAUCCCCCUGGUGACCAAGUGAAACAUGUUGCAUUAUUAGGGGUAAUAUGUCAUGGCAAAUUCUAUGGUACAUCCAUUGGAUGUAUCGGUACACCAAGUCGUAAAAUUAAUAAUAAAUGAGUUGUUUUUUUGAAGAAAAAUAAUUAUUUUCUAUCAUUGACAACUAAAAUAAUUAAAUUUUAUAUACCAAAAGCUUCGACGAAAUAAAAUUUAAUUUUUAAGAAUUUUCAUUACUCAUGACAAUGAAUAUUGAUUAUUUUUUAUGACAAAAUGUAAAUUUUGUAAUAUGAUCCUUAUAAACAAUGAAAUGAUGGUUUUUCUUAUGAAAUGAUGUUUUCUAAAAUAUAAAUAUUGACAAAUACCUUUUUAUUUCAUUAAAGUGAUCUUUAAUUUAUAUAUUUUGUAAAACAAGAGUACCGGUACACUCAAAAUUGUGAGUGUACCAUAGAAGUUCUCGUAUGUCAUUUAUUGAAUGAAUUUAAAAUAUGAAUUUUUGCUUAUAUUUGUGACCGGAGGGUAUAUAUAGUAAAGUUAGGGGAUACCAUGACACCUGAAGGUCUCCAAAGAGAUCCGCCCCUGGAUUUAAUGGUGAUUAAUCUUCGUCGAAGAAUUUAGAUGACACUUAAGAUGAAUCAUCACAUUUCAAUCGAAAUUUUCUCAUACGCAAUAGUCACGGAUACAACCCAUGACAACCUGGUUAAAGAAUUCGGGGAAUGGGUAACUUAUUUAGUUGAACUAAGAUAUUAAAAAGGUUAAGGAGUUAAUGAUUCAGAAUUCAAAUCUUAAUAUAACAAAUAACAUUUGUCAUUAAAAAAACUUGGCUAAAUAGUUAUAGUUAUACAAUAAUAAUAUUAUUAAUUAAUAAAGUAAAUUGAUAAUCAUUUUCAACUACUUGUAUUAUAUAAUAUUCAUACAAUGUCACGUAACUAAGACCUUACUUAAAUAUGAUUUGUUCUAUAGGAUCGUAACAUUGCGUCCUUGAUUUCUAAGGAGACAUGAACAUAAAUCUGGAUGAGGAAUUAUGAAUGUGUGAUUAGAGCAUGAUUAACGGUUCUAUCAUGAGACAUAUGGGGAUCAACAUAAGAGAUUAUUGAGAAUCGUUCUUAGCCACCAUAGUCUGGUUGGGUUGGAUACACGAUUGUCUUGACUUGAGAGGUUUCCAAUAAAAAAAUGUCACAUAACUUAUCCAAAAUAAAAGAUAAUAUUGUCACAAAUCAAUUUUACUUUUGGGGUGAAUUUUUUUUUUACAGGGAGACAUUUCUAUUUGACGGGUCAACAAAAUAUAAAUGUUAGGGAUUUAGAUUCACUCAUACAUCCGUCAUUCUUCAACAAAAAUAAUGUGAGUAAGAGGAGGAGAAGACGGGGAAAAAAUGAGGAGAAGCUUAUGAUAGAGAGAAUAAUUUCUUAUUCACGUAGUCAAGGCUGAACAUAAACCCGUUAGUAACCGAAGAAAAAAAGAGUGAGACGGGCAUAUACAAACGGGUUACGAGCCAACGGGGUCGAAAUUCGAUUUGGUCUGGGUUGGUGUGGGUGAGUGUGGGUGGAAAGUUUUGAACCACAGGUAACCAAACCCAUGCCCCAUAUAAUAUACCAAACGAUGUUGUUUUGAUGUUAAACGCAUGCAUUUUGAUUUUUAGGGUUUGCAUUACCGCAUUCACUCACUUAGACUUAGUCUUGUUGCCUUGCCUCCUCACAUUCUCUCACUUAACUGAUAGAAAUAUGAAGGUCGAUCUUGAAGCUCUCUCUCACUCUUAGUCACAAACAUAAUUGUAGAAUCCCUAAUCGUCAUCGUUUAACUCGCAGUCACGACCAUAUCUAACCCUCAUGCAUACUCAAUCUCUCAUAUCACUCAGCCUCACAUUCACCAACAAUUUCAAACCAAGGUCUUGAUUUUUCCUCAUCUUUUUGACUCUCUUUGUGUAACUACGCUCAAAUCAAAGGUUAGAUCUUCUAUUUUUAAUGUUUGUCAUUUUUUUUCUUCCGAUUUAGGGUUUCUAACCAUUUGCUUUUGUUUUUAAAGUGUAAGUUUUAACCUAGUACAAAUUUAAAUGUCACUGUUAUGUUUGAUAAUUGGGAAGGUGAUCAAUAAUUGAUCGGAUUUAGUUUUAAACAUCAAGUUCAAACUUUGUUUAUUGACAAUUUCACAAAGAAAGUUAAAAUAGAAUGCUCAAAGAAAAAUAGAAUAUUCAAAGAAGUUUAUUCUCUCACAUUUGAUUAGUACCCAUACUUGACUCUAAUGAUGAAGUAAUUAUAUGUUAAAUUAUUAAAUUUCUUGCUAAUGGUGUUCUAAGAAUAUUAUUUAAGAUUUUUAAACAAAGUAAUUAAUUAUUAGAUCGUUAAGUUUUUUUUCUUUCAAAUUUAACUAAGAAUACAAUUUUCCAUAAGAAUUUAUUUCUUUAGACUUCUACAACUAUUGCUUUAUGGUGUAGCAGUAAAAAUUGUUGGAUUGUUAGAAAGAAACGUUAUUUCUCUAAAUUUAACAGCCUAUAUAACUGUUGUACCACAAAAUACCAUAAAAAUCCAAUUUAGUUAAAUAAUAAGUCUUAAGAUAUAACUGUUGCACAUUUUCCUGAUAUAUCUUAAGGCUAAAGCAGAACAGUCCAAUAGCCAUUUUUUCUGUAAGAUACCACUGAAAUUCCUAUAGAUGUGCAACAGAAAAAAAACAAAAAUCCAACUACCAUAUAUCAAAAUCAAAUCAUGAAAUGAGAAUGAUAUAAUGUGGCCAUAGAGAUAUAUAGGGAUAUCCCCAUUCCUCCAAAUGGCCAUCUGGGGUACCCUAUAGCACCCAGCUGAAUUUUAACUACUGUAAGCAACUUAGCCUCAAUUUCCAAGACAUUGUCACGUAAUACCCUUUCUUUUUCUUCACUUCAGUGUCCUAAAACUCAAAACUUUUGCACUUUUCUCAUAACAUCUUUAUUUUUAUUUUUUUUCUCUUUAUGAAAACUAUUGAUAUUGAAAGUAAAGUUAAAACGAUGGGGCGAGGGAACAAUAAACAAUGAAGUUCCCUUUUUAUCCACAACAAGACUAAGGUCACUUUUUCUUUUGGCUCAUGACGCAUUCCCUUUCACACACCAUGACUACCCUUUUUACCCUUCAUUCAUUUCACAUCCUUGUUAUGUCUCAACAAUUCCAACAUGCCACCUUUUGUCCCUACAACACUCUCAAAAUAACCAUUACCUAAGCUAAAGUAACACUCUCAUCCUCUCACAAAUACUCUCAACUACUCAAGAGUGAUCCUUUUAUAAAAAAAUCAUCUCACGAUUAAUUACCUUUUAAUUUUUUUAAUACAAUAUUAAUAUUAACUCAUUUUUUCAACUAUAAAAUCUAAUUAACUAAUUUUUUCAAUAUUAAUAUUAACUAAUUUGUAUCACUUUCAAAUCAAUAUUUUUUACUUUGUAUUAAGGGUUAAAUAUGUUUUCAUGUUUACAUAAAUUAAAUUAAUUUUUUUUUUAGAGAUUCUUAUAAUAUUAUAAAUUUUUCUGCAAAAUUUUAUUCAAAAAUAUGAAUUUUACGUCUGAGUUUACUUUAAAGGAGAGACCAUAAGCGAAGAUGAAAAACUUUUGGAGGACUAAAAGUUGAAGAAAUUUUUUAGAAGGACUAAAACAAAAAGUUGACAUAUUUAUAGAGACAAAAAACAUAUUUAAUCCUCGUAUUAAUGAUAAAGAAAUAACACCAAUAUUAAAUAAGAGUAAUCUAGUAAAAUCAACAUUUUCCCUUUUUUAUUUAGGCAAUGUUUGGUUCCACGUCAGAAUGUCAAUUAUCGCGUUCGAAUGUUAUGUUUAUAGUGAUUUUGUGAAGUUAAAUUUCCUAGUUUCUCUUUCACCGCAUGACUACAUUAAACCAAAUGUCUGACCAAACACAUACUUGAAUACCUUUUUAAUCGGUCACAAAUAAUCAAAUGAUUUGUGAGUUGAAAGAAGUGCAAUGUUUUUUGUUAAGUAAUCUAGUGAUAAUGGUAAAGUUGUUGUCACGUGACUAAAAUAUCACGAGUUUAAAUCUAUAGGGACAAGGAAAGAUUGUGUAUUAUACAUCAAUUGGUGUGACUCCUUCACAGACCUUGUAUAUACGAAAACUUUAGUGCACCAGACUAUCAUUUUAAGUAGUCUAAUGACAAAACUAACACACUAUAAAUGCGAAGUAGUGGAGAAUCCGAAAUUUAAACUUCAACUCUUGCGUAUGAAUGUUCAUGAAGUUACCAACCGAUUUGUAGAUGAAGAAAUUCAAUUUCUUUCGGAAGUGACUUGUAAAUGGGACAAAACAUUGAUGCCAUGCAUAGGGAGAUAGGUAUAGACAUAGACAUAAGAACAAGAAAUGAGCAAUAGGACAAAUGUUGCUGACAUUUGUGGUAAAAGAGACUGCGUUGAUCCGGCUGUUUAGCUGGAUCCGCCCAACAUGCUUCUUUGCUCCUUUUUGCUUGUUUGUUUGCUUGCUCCACUAGUAUUCUACUACUACAAUGUCUUUUCUAUCCCCUUUUCCCCCUCUUAUCUUAAUCACUAGCUAGCUGUGAAAAUAAAUCGAAAUGACUACUAAUACUUUACUACUUAAAUAUAAAGUUUGAUCAAUCAAUAAAGUUCAACAAGUUUCAUGUCAUAGAAUAUAUAGGUUUUAUUUAGUUCUUUUUAUAAUAGGGUUGAUAAGAUUUAUUAGCUAGUUCGGUUCGAGUUUUAAAACACUAUACUAAAAUAUCUCUAUUCAGACUAGAUCGUAGCAUUUGAAGAAAAAAAAACUAGAUCACAGUACAAAGUAAAGUAGAAAUAGGUACCAUGCAAUUAAGAGAACUUAUAGGAAUAUGUUGAAAUUCAUAUAUUACAAGUUCUUUUUGUAAACAAUGUUGAAGAACUUAUAGGAAUAAACUAAAAAGAGAUUAUGAACAAUGUUAUACAAUAUUGUUAUAAGGUUUUUUCAAAUAGUCUCACAAGAAUUCACAUCAUUGAUAAAUUCAAAUAAACCAAUAUAAAUGAGAUGAUGAUGAUUGCUAUGUCAUGUCUCUUGGCGAGGUGAAUUUGGUCAUUUCUAUUGAAAUAGUAUAAGUAAUUUCAAGAGAGUAACUACACCUACCCAUAAGAAUUUAGAACUCAAAUUUUUAAUUUCUCACCCGUCGUGCUAGGUUAGUAAUUUGGGGUAGUUCAUCAUCUGUUGCUGGUUAUACAAGCUAGUGGUAUAAAUAUAAGUUUCAUACAAUAAAUAAUCCAUUUUGGAUAAUAGUACCAAUUCAACCAGAACAGAUACUUUUAUGAAUAUUUACCUAAAUCUUUCUUUAGGGAUGAAAAUAAAUUAGACUGUCCAACAUAAUACGUAUACUUCAAGUUCAACGCAAGAGGACUAUGAAUUAGUAUGAUUGAUUUAUUGGAAGAACAUGAGAGUUAAGAUUGAAACACAUAUAUAUCCAUGCAGUAGAUUAGAUUUUCAUGUAUAAUAUUUGAAUUUUUAUAACGGCGUUUUUGACCGGAAGAAAUCAACAUAUUUUUUUUUUAAGAAAAAUCAAGACUUAUUUGUUUGCUCUAAACUAUAUUAUCAAUCAAUGUUUCUUACAUUUUAAAGAAUUUUUUUAGAAUUGAUAAAUAAAAGACUGUUUUUUUUCCACCUUAUGAGUUUCUCAAGUACCUUAUGCAGUUCGAAUUUUAGAAUCUAAACUGCAUAAAAAUCCCAUAAAACAUUCAAAAACAUGUUGAAAUAUUUCAAAUUUUAGAAUUCAAAACGUCAUAGGGUGGGAAAAGUACUAACCUAAAUAAAAUCGGGAGGACAAAAGAAUAUAUAAAUUUAAAAGCCCAACCCGUCAGCUUUAUUGCAAUUAUUUGUGCCCAGAAUUUUUUUGAAGCUAAUACAUUACUUGGGCCAAUACAUUUUGUUGGAAGUCCUUGAGCUUAGAUAGUUGCUCUUUAAACACCUUAACUUUUCUUUCGACCGGAUUGUAACUUUUGAUCGAAAAUUUUUAUGUGUAAAAUUCGAUCAAAUUGUAAAUUUUAAUCAGAUUUUUUCAGUAAGAGCACCUCCAGAGGCGUUAAAGUAAUGUGUUUGUAUUUUUUUUUUAGGAGAUUAGUAAUCAAAAUGAUAAUAAAGGGACACAUGAUUUAAAACAUAGUGUAUGAUAUUAAGGGUAAAAAAUUAUAUUUUUUAAUCCCUCAUUUUCCUUUGUGAAUCAAGCAUAUAUUUAAUUAAACUCUCUUGCCUCUUUUUUAAUUCCUCUUUUAAACCAAACAUAUAUUUAAUUAAAAUAUCUCACAUCAUUUUACUCUUCCUCCAUUGAAAUUCCCCUUCCGUGAAACCAAACGGACCCUUAGGAGUAAAGAUGUGGCACAAAUCCACUUCCACACUCCAAAGAUUAAGGUAAGAAAAUAACAACUCCUUCACAACUAGAAAGGGUGACGGGGAAUCCACAACCUAAGAGAAAAGGUCAAUCACUUGUUGAUAAUAAAUAAAUCAAGGAACUUCUCUUAUGGUCAAUCAUAUUAUUCUCACAAAUCUAGGCACAAGAGUUUAUUGUUGAUCAACAUAUGGUUCUCAAAUUCACCAUCAACUGGUGAUAAAAAAAUGACUUAAAUAUGUCUUUAGUCCCUGCACUUUUAUCAGAUUUUGGUAUUGAUCCCUACACUUUUUUUUUGUUUGGAAUUGAUCCCUGCAUUUUGUAAAAAUAUUGAUAUUGGUCCCUCUGUUAACUUUUUGUUAAAAAAAACACAAAACUAUUGGUAUUAGUCCCUGCACUUUGUAAAAAUAUUGGUAUUGGUCCCUGCACUUUGUAAAAAUAUUGAUAUUGGUGACACGUGGUGUGAAAUGAUUGGGCCACGGGCACUCCGUUAGUUUUGUGUGUUUUUUUUUAACAGAAAGUUAACAGAGAGAUCAAUACCAAUAUUUUUACAAAGUACAGGGACCAAUGCCAAACAAAAAAAAAAGUGCAGGGAUCAAUGCCAAAAUCUGAUGAAAGUGCAAGGAUCAAUGACACAUUUAAACCUAAGAAAAAUCCAAACCCAAUUAACCAUUAAGAUAACUAAGAGUCUAAGAAGAUUGUGUAACGGUAUGGUUCUAAAAGGUUCAACUCAAUUAUCUUAUGGAUCAUCCAACAAAGAAACCCAUUUUAAGAGCAUCAAAUCGACUCAACAACCGAUGUCACAGUUUUUAACACAUCAAAAUAAGCAUUAAGUUAUCGCAUCCUCAAGGACUCAUGCGAUAUCAAUGCCUUUUAACGGUUAAUAUGAUUUUAAGUAGAAAGUAAAGUAUUUUUUUGAUAGAAUUUGUAUAAAACUAAUAAUUAGAAAUCAAAAUAAUAAAAAGAUGAUAUUACUGGGAUUAGACUUCGUCAAUCUCUUUCCAAAUUCCAAUGUAUCCUCCUGAUAAAUUACAUACUUUCAGGUUUUCAAUUGUAUCUUCGCUUGUCACUCUUCAUACAUUUUCAUUCCUGACAAACAAUGAGAGAUCUUUUUUUUUUCGAAUGACAAUAUAUAUAUAUACACGAAAGAUAGGAGUACAAUAUACACGGAGAGAGUCGUCAAGUGACGCUCAAACAAAACCACCACAGAGGAGAAUACCCCCAACCCCACACACUAGGCCUGAGGCGCACCCAAAAACACUCUAAAAGAGAAAAAACAACAAAUGAAUCAACACCAACAUAUGAUAGAUCUAUUAUAUCGAUUAACUACUGAUUUCUUUCCCAGUUAACCUUGACAAUAACAUUAAAAUUUAAUAUUGGUUUUUGACUCUAAAUCUUGCCCUAUUCCUAACAACUAGCAUCCACAAAUGCAUUUAUUUUAAACGCAUUAGUUAAAAAGACUUUUCCAAGCAAUUGAAAAAAAUCAAAAGAUCAAUUUCGAAAUGAUCACUCCUAAAAGUAUCAAAAUUAGAAUAGAACAUCUAUAUAACGAAACCAAGAUUAUACAUAACCAACAUGUUAAUAGAUAAUACAUUGGAGUAUAGAUGAUUUAAUUCUAAUUUCAAUAAAAGAGAUUUUUAACUACACAUGGUAACCUUACUGUAAGAAUUAUACUGCCUGACUAUUUUCAUUCAUUUGGCAAACAUAUAUACAACAAUACAUAGACUCCAAUUAAGGUUGGAGUUAUUGUAUAAUUAACUACAUUUAUUUACACAAUGAUGAAUAAUGAUUUUGGUGAUUGUGGUCAACUGUCUCUGUAUUCUAACACACCCCCGCAGUCGAAGCGGGAGGCCGGCGUACGCUGAGACUGUCUCGGAAAUCUUCAAAUAGUAUGCGCGGAAGACCUUUGGUGAAGAUGUCGGCAAUUUGAUAGCGAGAUGGAACAUGAAGAACACAGACUUGUCCACGGGCAACUUUUUCACGAACAAAGUGAAUGUCUAUUUCAAUGUGCUUAGUGCGUUGAUGUUGAACAUGAUUACCAGAGAGGUAUAUUGCACUAAUAUUAUCACAAUGCACUAAGGUAGCUUUCUGAAUUGGGCAAUGGAGUUCCAAGAGAAGGUUUCGGAUCCAACAAGAUUCAGAGACAACAUUUGCAACCCCUCUAUAUUCGGCUUCAGCACUUGAUCGAGAUAGAGUUGGUUGACGCUUAGAUGACCAUGAUAUCAAGUUGUCGCCAAGGAAGAUGCAAUAUCCAGAGGUGGAACGUCUAGUAUCGGGGCACCCACCCCAAUCGGCGUCCGUGUAGGAGAUGAGACCAGAAACAGAAGAGGUACUUAGUUUAGAUUUGGUAUCCACUGGUGUAGCUGUUGGUUUGCAUGAGGUCAUACCUGCUCGUUCGAUUAUCUCAGACGCAUAUUUUCUUUGACUAAGAAACAAGCCACCUGCAUGAUGUGUAACUGCAAGGCCUAAAAAAAUAACUCAGAGUACCCAAAUCUUUCAUAGCAAAUUCGGAGGCAAGAAGUGACAUAAUAGACCGACGAAGAACAUCAGAUGAUGCAGUAAGAAUGAUGUCGUCAACAUAGAGUAAAAUAUAUGUCAUGUCAUUUCCUUUCCGAUAAAUAAAUAGGGAAUGAUCAGAUUUGCUAUGGGAAAAACCGAUGGUGAAUGCAAAAUCAGCAAACCGUUGGUACCAAGCACGAGGGGCCUGUUUAAGCCCAUAAAGAGAUUUCUUCAAUAAACAAACAUAAUCUGGAUGGAUUGGGUCACGAAAACCCAUCGGCUGAUGCAUGUAUACAGUUUCUUGAAGUUCACCGUGAAGAAAAACAUUUUUAACAUCGAGCUGAUGAAUGGGCCACGACUUUGAGAGAGCUAUAGUAAGUACUAUACGAAUAGUCGUUGGUUUCACGACUGGGCUGAAUGUUUCAUCACAAUCUACUCCAACCUAUUGAGACCUUCCAUCACCUACAAGUCGAGCUUUAUACCUCUCAAAUGACCCAUCUGAUUUCUUUUUGUGACGGAAUAUCCACAUAGAGCGAAUAAAAUUAACAUUUUGUGGACGAGGUACCAAUUCCCAUGUCUUAUUUUUAAUAAGAGCAUCAAAUUCGUCUAACAUGGCAGCUUUCCAAUUCGAGUCGGACAGGGCUGCCUUAGGGUUGUGGGGAAGUGGUGAUGAUGUAAUUGAGGUGGUCAAGUUGAAUUGAAUUUUAGGUUUAUGAAUUCCAUGCAUGCUGUGGGUUGCAAUGGUUCGGGGUGGUUCUUGAUGGAUUUGUUGUGGAGUAUGUGUAGGAGAUGUGAGUUCAGUUGAGACAAGUGGAUGGGGUAAUUGGUUAAUAGACAUAGGGGAAGGCGGUAGUAUGCUUUGGUUUGUCACAUUAAUUGGUGAGGCUGGUGUUGUGGCAGGUUGUGGUGAUUCAAUUUUACGUGGUUCCGGUUCAUCUUGUUUUGGAUCAUUUUGGAGGUGGUAGUGUAGAAGUGGAUGAAGGCUGUCAUUUAAGAAUUCAUAGGUGUGAGUGGAGGAAGUAUGUGUUUUGGCAAAUGGGAAUUGGGUCUCAUCAAAUAUGACAUGUCUAGAAAUUAUUAUUUUCUUGCUAGACAAAUCAUAACAUUUGUAACCGCGGUGAUUUUGUGGAUAACCUAAAAAGGCACAUGGAGUGGAGCGGGCUUGUAGUUUAUUGAUGGCGGUGGAGGGAAAGAGCGGAUAACACAAACACCCAAAUACACGUAAAUGUGUGUACGAGGGAUCCCUAUGAUAUAGGUAUUGAGUGGGGGAGUGAUGUGAGAGAAUCUUGCUAGGUAGAAUGUUUUGAAGGUAUGUGGUGAUUUGUAGAGCAUGGUGCCAAAAUGAUGGUGGCAUAGAUGAAUGAGCAAGGCUAGUACGGAUGAAGUUAUUAAUUGCUCGUAUUUUACGUUCAGCUUUGCCAUUUUGUGGUGAAGUGUGUGGACAAGAAAAACGGAAUACCAUACCAUUUUUGUGACAAAACUGUGUAAAGUAUUCAUUAUUAAAUUCUGUUCCAUUAUCACAUUGAAAACAUUUGAUUGUGGUUCCGAAUUGAGUUUUAAUGAAUGCAUGAAAUGAGGAAAAAAUGGAUGGGACUUGUGAUUUUCUUCCAAUGGGAAAUGUCCACACAAAAUUGGUGUAAUCAUCUAAGAAAAAAAGGUAAUAUUUAUGGCCUGCUGAACUUAAAAUUGGUGAUGUCCACAAAUCACUAUGAAUUAUAUCAAAAGGCUUGGAAGUAGUAGAAUUUGAAAUAGAAAAAGGUAAUUUAACAUGUUUCCCAUAAAUGCAAGAUUGACAAAUAGAAGGACUAGAGAUUUGUUUACACUCAAUAAACUUAUUUUUGUUUAGAAAACUUAAAACAUUUGCUCCGGGGUGUCCCAAACGAUUGUGCCAUAAGGUAGGAGAGAGAGCUGCAAAGGUUGCUGGAGAAGUGGAUUGAUGGCUUGUGGUUGUGGUGAGAGGGUACAGGUCACCUGUGCUGUCACAUCUCAUUAGAGGUAUCCCCGUUUGUAUAUCCUCCACAGAAAAACUAAAAGGAUCAAACUCAAUGGUAACAUUAUUAUCAAUUGUGAAGCGACGCACAAAUAUUAAGUUUUUAAUGAGUUUAGGGGCAUGGAGGACAUUAUUUAAUGAUAAGGGUGGGUAAGGUGGGGAAAUGUAUGUUUGUCCAUAACCGCGAAUUGGAAUUUCCUGUCCACUGCCAACAACGAUAUUUUUAUUAAUGCUCAAAUUAGAAUAAGUAGAGAGAGUACCUUGAGAUGCAGUCAUGUGUGAUGUUGCACCAGUGUCCAUGUACCAAUUUUCAUCAGGAACAUUCAAGAACAGAUUAUGCAUUGCCGCAUCGAUGUCUGUAGGUGCAUAAUUUGAAGGAGUUGGCCCAUGAGCACUAUAAGCCUGUGGUGGACGAGUUCCUGUAGCCACGGGGGAACGAUUUGAUGGUGGACGAACCCAAUUGGAUGUGGGGUAAGGACAAGGUGGAGCUGCCCAUGGUUGUUGUCCCCACGGUCCCCAUUGUGGGUAUGAUGGCCACAGUUGUUGCUGCCAUGGACGUGGAUUGUAUUGCUGUCCACUGUUUUGUCCGUUGUUACUACGACCUCGUCCUCUACCGCCACCAUUUCUGCCGCGAUUGUUGUUUUUGUUCUGACCGUGUUUUUGAUCAAAAUUAUUACGGUGUGCUGGAUUUCUGGAACCUUGGGUAAACCCACGAUUGUUACCAGAGUUGUCAUCACUGGACUGGUUUGUGGUGAGGAGAGCGGUACCUGCAGCAUUGAUUGUAGCAGCUGCUUGCUUUGCCUUGCGGGUUUCUUCGAGGAUCAGCCUCGAUCGUGCCUCAUGAAAUAGCGGCAAAGGAUUACUCUGUUGAAUAAAAAUAGCAACACCAUCGUAGUUCUCAUUCAGACCCGCAAUUAAUUGGAGAACUAACCUUUGGUUCGAAACUGGUGAGCCAACGUUUGACAGUUGAUCAGCAAUCAUCUUGAGUUCUUGGCAGUAUGCCGAGAUGUUGGGAAAGUCGUCCAAAUGGACGCGUGUGAAUUGGUUUUCCAGGUGAACAACACGAGAAGCUUUGUUGUCCUGGAAGAUGUUUUCCAAUCGCUCCCAUGUUUGCUGUGCGGUUGAACCAGGUGACAUGAUGGUGUGAAGGAGGUCGGUGGAGAUCGUUCCGUAAAUCCAUUGGAGAACGAUUGCAUCCAGGCGUGACCAUUGUUCUUUGUUACUCUCGGCAGAUUUUUCCUUUUCUACAACGGAUCCUUCUUUGUUACCGGCUAUUGCUUUUUCUUUUUUCUUUGAUGAUUCUAUUUCUGGUGUGGUUGGGAUUAUGUGAUCAAUAACUUGGUAGACGGUGCAAUGAAUUUUGAAUAAUUCUGCGCAUGUGGAGUAAUGGUUGGUUUCCAUCUCUAGAGUGAUGGGAAUGAAGUUUCUGAUAUUGUUCACAGCAAGGGCGGGGUGAAAGUUUUUGUUUUCUGCCAUUGAUGAAAAAGAAAAAGAAUUGCAGCAGGUUUGUGUUUUAGGAUCAAACUCGUGAUACCAUGUAAGAAUUUACUGUCUGACUAUUUUCAUUCAUUUGGCAAACAUAUAUACAACAAUACAUAGACUCCAAUUAAGGUAGGAGUUAUUGUAUAAUUAACUACAUUUAUUUACACAAUGAUGAAUAAUGAUUUUGGUGAUUGUGGUCAAUUGUCUCUGUAUUCUAACACUUACAAUACAUGUUAAGAAGGGAUUGAUUGUUGAAGUUGAUUCCUUAGUCACCUUCUCCGUCUGGCUAUGGUACCGAAAGGUAUCAAGUGACACUCUAAAAAUGACAGUUAUUGUUCUAUUUAUAAUGGAUGGACAAAUGAAGUCUUUUUCAACUCAAAAAAACGUCUUUCGGUGUCGCCUUAAUUUGCUAACCAAAUUACGUGCUUGCUUAGGGAUAUUACCAUGUUUUUCUUUAUAUCUCUUUGGAUUGAUUCCUGAAGCAAACUGUUGGCUUGCUUAGCAAGGUGCCUUUAUAUCUCUAGCGGUAGUUGUAUAUAGGGGUGCUCAAAUAGAAACCGAUCCAAAAUAAAACCACAAGUCAGAUCCAAAAAACUCGAAAACCGUAAGAAAAAAAUCGAAUAUGUUUGGAAGUUGUUUUGUAAAAACUGCUAGGAUUAUAUCGAAGAUCGGAUAACUUUUUCAAAACCAAACUGAACUAUAAAAUUAAAUUUUAAUACUUAUUUAUUAUUUUGUUAGUAUUAUUUAUUACAUUAAUAUAUUUUUUGUUGUUUUUUAAUAUUAUACAUUACAUUAAUUUAAUCCAUAUUAUUACUACUUCGUACGGUUUUAAUAUAUUCUUUCAUUAUGCGAUGUUGAUUUUUUAAUAUCUUUGCGUUAUAUUUUGAAUCAACACAUAUUAUUUUACCGUGUAUGUAUAAUAUUAAUAUUAAUAAAAAAUUAUAUGUUGCAUUUUGAAUAUAAAAAAUCGAUCCAAAUUAAACAAUAUAUAUUUGAAUCGAAAUUUUUUAGAAUAAUCAUCUAAAUCAAGUCACAUGUGAAUUUUAUUUUGAGUCGGAUGACUUUUUAUCACAAAACCGAUCCAAAUAGCACCACAAAUACCCCUAAUUAUAAGCUAUAAUAGUUUUAUUGUUUGUUAUUUCAUCCAAAUUGCUACUCCCAAGGCUAACUCUUGCUCGGAUGACCUUUGUUUCUUUCUUCUAAGGUUCUAUCAAUCAUUUACCUUCGAAAACAAGAAAAAGAUGUAAAAAUCAUCAUUCUUCCGUCUCAAACCCGAAGUACCAAAUAUAUACAAUAAAGUGGAAAAAAUCACACGUUUUUAAUCAAUUUUAGUUGAUAUAAGUGUUUUGAAAAAUAAUUGAAAACUAUGUAAAUGAGCUGCUUAUUAAUAAUGGGUUCAAAUACCAAUUCCACCCUAGGUGGGUCACUUCGACACAAAGGAUAAUUCAACACAAAAAUCUACUCUCAACGUGAUCCCAAAAAACAAACACAUCUCCGCAUUAGGAUUUUAGAAGUACCGAUAUGCUUAAUCGUUCCUAGCAUCAUAUAAUAAUUCAAAUAUUAUAAUAACCUUUAAGUUAUCUCAUAUUCAAUUUUCCAUAACAAAUUGAGUUUAUUUAAUACAAAUUCUGCAUGAAGAAGAUUACAACAAGAUGAAUAUCAUUUAGAGCCACACUAUAAAUAAUAGACCUCACCUCAUGCAUCAUCACGUUACUUUGCACUCACUCGCUACAUGGUAGCACACUAUCUGAUUUUGGCAUCACUUUAUCAUUCACAUGUUGCCUCUUUGAAGAACAAGCAUACACCUAAUUGCGAGGAUCAUCAACAUUUGGCGUGAAGAAUAACACCCCCUCCUUAGGUGAUACAUUUCGUGAGUUCACACAACUUUGAAAAAAAUAAUGGAUUUAGAGAACUCAAAUCUCAAACAAUUUAUUUUAAGAGAAACUCAUCAACCACUUAAACUACAUACUCUUGUUACGGUUAUUAGGUAAUAAAUUUGUUAAAAAAAAAAAAAAGAAACUAAAUUAAGUAGAUAAAAUAUUGAGUAUUGAAUAGAAAGACACAUAGGAAAAUAAAUGUAUGAAGAGUGAUGACAGGUAGGAAGAUUCGUUCCAUGUUGCUAGCUCAUUACUCUCCUAAAUUAGCCCAACCGUUGAACCCCAUCUCUCUCUCUCUCUCUCUCUCUCUCUCUCCUCUCCAACCCCAUUCCAUUUCUUUCAACCCCAUUUCUCAGAAACAAUCUCGGAGAGAGAGAAAGAGAAACACAUUCCUUCAUUUUUCAACCCCUCUUUCUCUUUCUCUCCAAAACGACCCCUUUUUCUGCGUUUCACAAUGAAAACAUCAAAAACCCUAAUUACCUUCAUUCUCAAUUUCUCACCUUAACAACAACAAAUCAACGAUUUUGAUCCAUACCCAUUUCAAUUCAAAGGGUUAAUUUCAUUUUCAUAGCAAAAUUUCAACCUGGGGGUAGAUGUGGAAAAAACCCCCUUUUGUAUCUACAAACCCUAAUAAUCAAUAUAGAAAUCGAUCUCUGUUCUUCCAUGGCUUCAACAUUUUAUUCGCAUUUGGGAUUUUUGAUUUUCGGUAUUUCUAUUUGUUUUUAUGCUUUUGUUGUUCAAUCUCAGAUACAAGAUCCAAACGGUUUUCAAUCACAACAAAAUCAAGUGGUUUCAUCUCCACCACCGCCUCCGCCACCUCCACCACCGCCACCACCUCCACCACCUCCGCCGCCAUCAACUCCACCACCUCCUCAGGAUUUCAAUUCACCUCCACCGCCAACAUUGCCGGAUAUUCCACCACAAAAUCAAAAUCCCAGCCCAAUAAGUUCGCCGCCGCCGCCCCACCUCCGUCGCUGGCACGACCAUGUUCAAUUACCACCGCCCCUGGCGCCCCCGCCGCAGCAUUCGAUGAAUGCUGGCAAAAAGGUUGGACUUUUAUUUGUGGGCAUUGCGGCAAUUAUGCAGGUUGGUUUUGUUGGGUUCUUGGUAAUCAAAAGAAGACAACUUUUGAAGACCAAUGACAAUGACAGAUAUGAGAAUUGUUCUUGAAUUUUUUUCCUUACCUUUCUUAUUUAAUUCAUUCGAAAGAAAAAAAAAAGAGAAAUUAAUGGGUUGAAAUUGAAAUUCUUUGUUGUGGGGGAGAAAAGAAAUGUUGAGAUUUUCAAGCAGGGAAAUGGAAAAUGUAUGAAUUUGUGAAGUCAUUGGAACAAACGUUACUCUUUGUAUAUUUGAUAUUGAUAUUGUUAGUUUACGUUUCCCUUUCACAUUUUAUGUAACCCCUUUAGAUACAUUAUUACGUUGGGUUAUAAUGAAAAACAGAAGAAACCCUUUUGUACUUGUUUGGUUUUUUUGUUUGUUGUUCUCUAACUUGUUAGAUGUACAAUGAUGAUGUUAGGAAUAUUUGAUUGAUUAAUGACAGUACUUUUUGUUUUUCCUCCUCCAAUGAUGUCAUGAACCUUGUGUGUAUAGAUUUCUAAUCUGUAGUGAUUAUGAUGUUUCAACUGUUAUGUGGUUUUCUUAAUGUGUAGCACACUCUUAAAUGACAACAUUUUUUUUUGUCAAACAUUGAGUUAUAGAUAGAGAUGGUGUUCUGCCUUGUCAUGCUAAAAGUAGUGAAUUGUCUUGAGUGGCUGCCAAGGUUAAUAAUUGGGUGGAAAGUGGAAACUUUUAUAGGAACCUUGUUUGUUUGAGCUAAUAUGUUGUCUCAAGGGUAUUCAGGUCACUAUUUGAUAUUUGAGCUGUGCCUACCUAUAGGAUUGUGUUUCUCUGUGUUUUUGAAGGAACCUUGUUUGUUUGAGCUAAUAUGUUUAUUUAGGUUACAUUUUAAUUAGGAAUAGUUUUAUCAAAACGAAGAAAAAUAAGGACUUUGGAAACACAGGUGUGUUGUAGAGUUAUGCAUUCAUAAGCUGAUAAAAGGCACAUGAUUAACUUGCAUGGUUAAUCAUGUGGCAUUUGAUUGCCACAUUCUGUAUCUUGUCCAUAGAGUUAUAUCUGUUUGAGUUGAGUUUAGACAUCAUCAAACAUAUUUGUUAUUUGUCCCGUUAGUGCAUCUCAGAUAGUAAAAAGUUGCGGGGACAUCUAAAAUGUUAGGGUGCGGAUUUGAAAUCGCAAUACACCUAUUCUCCGCACAUAAUGCGUUGAGUUUCACUGGUUAGCAUAACCCAUUUGUUAUUUAGGAUUUUGGAUAUUAAGUCUUCUUAUGUUUUAAUCUAAAGAAAGUCCUCUAUGUUGAUAGGUUAAUGCAUGAUUUAGUAAAAUUGUGCAACUUAUGUAAAUGUAUUGUAGUAAAACUUUUUUAGUACACAUAAAUUUUUUAGUUUACUUCUCUUUUUCUGAUGAAUAAGUGACAAUUAAGUAGCAAGUGCUAUAAUGGAAGAUAAGAUGAAGAUUAGUUGAAAAUGACCUGAAUUGCCAAAAUUCUUACAAAAGAAAAAGUGGCUUCAUAGUUUAUAAUUCUGCUGUCCGAAUGAAAUACAAUUAUAUAAUAGUAGCAAAAAUUUCCAAUUCAAUUUGUUUGUCAUUUCCAGAUAUUAUAAUGGCUAGGGAUUUAGUUUGUUGUUCAUAUGACUUAAAUUGAGUAGGUUCAUUGCUGUUGAAAAUAUUGACUGGUAGAGUUUUACAUCCCAUUUAUUCCUUUUCUUGAUCAACCAGCCGACCAUAUUUAUGGAAUAAAUGCAUGGAUAUAAUUAGAAUAAAGUUUAAAGGAUUUGAACAAUAGUUGGUAUGGAUUUUUUAUGAUAGUAGUUGGGAUCCAGUUAUACAAAUGUUGACAAUUUUUCUAAUUAGUGCCCUCAAAAAUUGAUUUUGUAUAUAGUUAGUAUUUCCUUUCUCACGUAUUUAUGUACAGAAACUAGCAAUGCAAUAAAUUUCUUGCUGAGUUUGUUCUGGCCAGUCAUGUGGAAUGCUGCGUGUAAGAAUUUUUCUUUUAAAACGAAGGAUAUGUAAAUACAUUCUUGCUCACAUUUUUUGUUGAGAUUUUAAUAAUUUUAGUUUAAUAAUUACAUGUGUAGCACUCAAUUUUCCAAAUUGGAAAAAAAUGGUUGGGAUGUUUCGAGAUACGGUUUCCGAUACGUUUCUUGACAGACAUCGUAUAUCAUUGAGUGUGGACAUUAGUUCGAAGGAGAGAGAAUAAGCUUCCAAGUAGAGACUUGUAAAAAAAAAAAAGUAUCCGAGUAGAAAGAAAAAUGAUUUAAAGCUCAUAAACCAUAAAAUUACACAAUGUGAAACCAUAUAAAUACUCAAUGUCUCUGUUCAAUUUUGUUUCAAAAAACAUUCCUCCAUAAAAUAGAGAUAAGGAAACAUGUAAGCCUCAACACACUUUAGUCUUCAGCAACAAUACGUUUGAGUAUUGCAUAGAGAAAAGGGGAGUUUCUUUUUCUAUCUCCAACAAAAAAACACAACUUUUUCCGUCAAAGAGUAUACCUCAGAUACAUACAUGUGUAGUUUUUAAGAAACAAGGGGUGAAAAAAAGUUGUUUAGAAAAGGAUUAAUGCAAACCAAUCUUCUCUAUUUAAAAAUAAAUAAAUAACAGAACCAACCUUCUAGUUCUAGCGUACUGCAGUUAACACUAUGAUGAGUAGAAACAAUUCUCAUUAUUGAAAUGAAUGUGCUAAAUGAAUUACAAAGUGGUACUUCAUCAAAUAUAUACUCAGUGAUGAAGUUCCUAAAACAGAAAAAACUUCUGUUAUGUACAGUUAUUAUUUGACAGUUAGUAACUAACUUCUAUUAACUACCAGUUCUCUUAAUAUAGCGUCUGCGGAACAAGCUUAUUCUAACUAAUGGGACAAUAAUCCCAUAAUUGAUUGAUGGUUUGGUAUGUCUAGAAGUAAAAUUUUCUUGGCCAAAAAAUUAAGCAUAAUGUUCCAAUUUAAGCAAGCGCUAAGUUAAGGUUUCUACAAAUAGAAAAUAUUUAUUGAUAAAAAUUUCUAACUUUUUGAGCAAUAAAUUGUCACAAUUUUUAAGAAAUUUUUUUCACAUUAAGUUCCUUGAGAUGCGCUCUUAGGUCACAUGCUAGCAUUUUCUUUUAAGAAAUACAUUUUUUUUUUUUUAAAACUAAGCAGCCAAUGUUGAAAAUAAAAGAAAGCAAUACAUGUAGGGAGGAUUACUUGCACACUGAUAAGUCAUAAUAAUGUUAGCUAGCUAACCCUAUAAAAGACACUAGUUGCAGAGAUGGAAAAGAAAUAAAAAACUAACAGAAAAGUUUUUUAUAAGAUAAAAUAAUUAAGGGUUUUGUACAAGUGUUCUAAAGAAUUAAAAAAUAGAAAUGGUUUUCAAAUUUUGUAGAAAAAUUUAUUUUUUUAUUUUUAAAGUUUCAACAUGUUAAAUAUAUAAUUUCCAAGACAACAUUUUCUCUAUAGACUUCUUAACAAAUGCUCUAAGGAUACUCGUUAGCAUUUUUCAAUAAUCAAAAGGUAAUCAUGCUGUAUUCUCUUUUGUCAAUUGAUUUUAUAAUACUUUACGCAGUUAUAAUUUAUGUUAAAAAGGAUUUUCUUUUCCAAAAAUAUUUUUGUUAUGGAUAUACUCCUAUCAAUUUUUAUACUGCAUUAUUGCAUAUCAUGUUUGACUUGAAACUAGAAAAAUCUUCACUUCUUAAAAUCCUUGCCUAUGGCCAGGUACAGAACAAUAUAGCAGGAGAAUAACCUCUAAUUUGUGCCCUAUAAGUAAUGAUUAGCCAGAAACUCUCAUGCAUGCAAUAUGUGACUAUGAUGUGCAGUGGCUCAAAAAAAAUGUCAGGGUGGGCCACUAAAAUUAACUAUUGAAAAAUUGUUUAAAGUCUCGCAAAUUAGACCUAUAAUUGAAUUAUUUAAAUUUUUCGGGUGGGCCACUACACCAAUUUGCGGGAAUUUGGAUCAACCAAAACCUAAAACCGACAUAAAAUUGUAUAAAAUCUCGCAAAAUAGACAUAUAAUUGAAUUAUUUAAAUUUCGGGUGGGCCACUAUACCAUUUUGCAGGAAUUUGGAUCAACCAAAACAUAAAACCAACACAAAAUUGCAUAAAAUCUCGCAAAAUAAACCUAUAAUCGUUGAUUUUUUAAUUUUUCUGGGUGAGCCAUGAAGGGCUCCGCCAGUGAUGAUGUGGUUUCUCAACUCUGAACCAAUGUGGUGAAAAAUACAACUGACCAAAUUUUUUAGCUUGGAAUCAUUGGAUGUGGAAUCAGGUAGCAAUCUCUAGAUUCAAUUAUUAUUUGGAACGCUGGUUGCUAGGAAAUGAUUUGAAUCAAUGAGUUUUAACGAGAAAAAUUAAUAUUCUAGACAACUCUAUGUUUCUAACUUAUAUAGUAUGAACUUGGAGUCCUCAUCAUAUUGAAUUUUUUUGUGCUCUUUCUACAAUGGAGCAAGUCUUUAAGAUGAACCAUCAUCUUCUUCCUACUCUCUCUUCUUUGUUACUUGGAAAAAGGAAAAAGUUACAUAUAGAUAGUUCGCAUGAAAGUGAUUAGUGUGUGUCAGCAUGCACAGGCAUCUUAUGUCAAUUGGAAUCCUCUCUGGUGCCAAAGCAGAGAGUAUCAUUUUGGAGAUAGAAACUUUUUUCUUAAGAUAUGUAUUUUAUUCUCUAGAAGGACACCCUCUAUUGGAGUAACUUAGAAAGAAUAUAAUUGCAAAUUAGGAGUGAAAAAUUCUAUACUUGCUGAACAAUGAGGUAUUGGGUUGGCCUUGUGAUACUGGCUUGGGAUUUGAAAGCGUGCUCCUCCUUUAAGUCUCAAGUUCGAUUCUUCCAGGGCUUCUGAAUUUAUGUUCUUAAUCUCAUGGCGCGGGUAUUGGUGGGAAUUUAUCAAAACUUUACAUACAACUACAUUGAUAUUAGUAAACGGUGCUUUGGAUGCACACAGUUCCAAGUUAAUGCCGGAUAAAAAGAUUUAUGAUUAUAAUUUUUCUUGCGAUGGUCCGAGACAAGGUGGUACUUGUGAUAUUUCGGCUUGGGAUGCAUUUUAUUUGGUAGUUUUCACACGUUCAUCAAAGAAAAACCUUGUUUAGAAGGAAAUGCUAAUGCUAACGUGGGGCAUUAUGGUCUUUGAGUUUAACAAUCUCAGCUAAUAUCCUUCAUUUAUUGCUAUAUUAACUGUGAGUGAGGAAACUAUUGAUGUUUUGGAUUUGGAUCCUCUCCGUUGAAAAUUUUCUUCAAUUUUCUCCAUUUUCAAUCUUCACUAUUAAAAUACAACAACUACUAUUCGUUAUAAUUUAAUUUUCACUUUCUUUCUCAUGAUUGAUGGUUGAGAUUUCACAUGAGAAAAUUUAAGAAAAUUUUCAAUAGAGAGAAUCCUAAUCCGGAUGUUUUUGUCCCUCCUACUCUCUUAGCAUGCAAUAAUUUGAAUAAUGUUUUCUUUCAUUUAAAACAAAAUGAACUAUUGUCCAACCAAAAAAACAAAGCAAUUAAUUAUUGAUAUGUAUCCGAAACUCCCAACCACCAAAUGAUAGAUUUACUUCAGAAUUCAGAUAUAAAACGUGGGGUAGGAGAAAAUUGUAAUUUACAAAAUAAAUAUGUCCAAGAGGGUAUGAAGUAAUUUUGUAGAAUAGUACUAUAUAGUACAAUUGGCACAUGAUACCCUUAUGCUAUGCCAUUUUUCUGUUAGAAGAACUUUGAAAAAACACAUUAAUAAUGUGUUCUCCCUUGUCCCUAAGUAUAGAACUUUGUCGACUAAAUCACAAGACAUAAGAAAACUAGUAGUACGUAGCAUUAAAUUAGUUAACCAUUGAUAUUGUUACAAAUUUAUCUUAGAAUUGAUUAUUGUUACCACUAAUUAAGGAUAUGCUAGUAACCAAAUAAUUAAUAAAGUUUAUAAAGUAAGAUGUUAUAGAAGUUUGGUUGUGUGUGGAAAGAAUUGAUUUUGGUUAAAAAUAACUUGACCAAAAGUGAUUUGUGUUUGAAUACAUUCAUGUAAAAAUGAGUCAAAUUUAUGUAAAAAUGAAUCAAAUUAUAAAAUUGUGCGUGAAAAUCAAUUCUAGAAUCAAAAACUACAUAUCUUAGUUUCAAGUAGAAUCAAUUCUAGUCGACAAUAACUAAACAAUUCAGAAUCAAUUCUAGUUCCUCUAGAAGUGGAACCAAAGUGAAGGAUGCAAAUUAUAAAGCUAAACAUGUACCUAGUUACACCACAUUGAUUUCUAUAUCCUAAGGGUGGUGAAUGAAUGAAACAAUAUAAGGUGUUGAUGCAAAGUUUGAAACCUUACAACCACUCUAGUUACAAUCAAUUGGAUAUAUGUUAUAGAGAAUUUUGAUGUGGGGGAAGUGUCUCUCUCAGUCUCUCCCCACCUAAUCUUAAAACAGUAGUAAAUAUAUUGCAAAAUAUUCAUUGCACAUGUUUUCUGGCUGUUGGGUCCAUACAUCACAACAUACAAGCACAAGCAUCAGAAAGUUAAUUUAAAUUUGUCCUUGAUUGAUUGCUAUUGCUACUACCACCCAUUUAAAAAAGUAGACUGCAUAAGCAACUUAAUAUGCUUUCCAGUCAAACAUCUUAAGUGUGAAAAUCUGAGACAUGUUUUUUUUAACUUUUCUUCAUGUUGAAGAAACAAAGCAUAUUAUAAUAAUAAUAAAAUAUAUCAUCAAGACACACAAAAAAAUCCUAAUGUGGUCCCCUACAUAACACAAUAAAGAUCACACCUUUUGCUAAAGAAAAUUCACCCCAGCCACACAUAACAUUUUGAUCUUUAACUCUCUCUUGGCAGUAUCCACCAGCAAUUCUUAAUCAAAUAAUAACUUCACUCAUCUGCCAAGGAUAAUAAAGUAUAUAAAUUUGUUAGCGUAGUAGAAAAAGCGGACAGACAUAGACAGAAGUGCCUAUCUAGACGCUAGUAAAGUGUGAUAAUAUUAAAUAACUUUAUGGAUAAUAAUAUUUAUAUUAAUAAUAACAAAAAAAAAACAAAAACAUAGGAAUGAUGAUAAAUGAUAAUCAACCUGUUGGAAUUCUGGAGUUAGAAGCAAGAUCUAGCCAGGAAUCUGUGUUCUUUGGUGUCCACUCACCAAAGAAAUGAUGAAGUGGUUUCUGAGUUGUCUCACUUUCUUUGUCCUUGUUUGUUGUUCUUGUUGACUUGAUGUCAGUGCCUAAAACAAAACAGUGUUGUUCUUGUUGUUGUCUUGAAUUAUCAUCAUUGAUAUUCUGAAACUGUGAGCUUGAGUAAGACUUAAAGGGAUUCAUUGAUAGUUGUUGUUGAUAUGAAUCAUGAUAACAGCUCCUAGAUGAACCUGUAGCUUCUGGAAAGAAAGUUCUCUCAUCCACAGUACCAUCUCUUAUUCCUUGAACUUGCCUCCUUUAUCAACAAUCAAGUACAAUAACACAUACACAACAAAAUAUCAAAACCUAGCAAUUUUAUAUAUAUAUAUAUAUAUAUAUAUAUAUAUAUAUAUAUAUAUAUAUAUGUUUAUUAUGAUUUUAAAUUGUAGUCUGCAAUCGUAAUAUAAAUAUAUUUAGAGGUCUCUAUAACGGUAUGACAACUGCAAUUUCAACCGCAUUAGAUAUAAAUAUAAAAGUUGGCAGCGUAACUGAAAAAACAAUUUAGAAUUUAUUGGUUUUAUACAUACCUAAAGUCCUUGUCAUCCUGAGAAUAAGAUGUUGAGUCCAAAAAGAGGUGAUGAGUAGUAGCAUCUUGAGUUUGAAAAUGAGAAUGAUCAAGUGGGUUAGUAGAGGUAAUUGAUUGAGAGUAAUAGUAAGGGUUUAAAGAAGAGUUUUGGUAGGAUUGUGAAAAAGAUUGUGACUGAUCAUGACAAGCCAUGGAUGAAGUAGAGAAAGGGAAAGAAGAAGGUGAGUUUAUGCUGCUGCUGUUGUUGUUCAAGGAGAUGUUUCUGUUGCUGUAAGAAGAUGCUGUGUUUGUGUUAUUUGUUGGUGUUGUUGUUGAAGAAGAAACUACUAGUUCCACAGGCUUUCUUGAACGGUUUCUACCUCUGUGCAUGUGUCUUUCACAGUACUUUGAGUCUGGAUAUGCUUCCUUUGAGCAUCUCCAUUUCUUGCCAUCUGUUCUUCUGCACCUCCCUGGCUCUGGGUCUACUUUUCUGCCAAAUCCCAUUUCAAAACAUCCCCACCCAACUGCACCAUUCACAGUUAUGACAACAAACAAAUAUAAAGUAUACACAUAUAUAUAAUAACAACAACAACAUAAAGUAUAUAGUAUUUCUUUUAUCAUAAAAUAUAAUAAAAAGAGUUAUAACAAUACUUACUUGGUGGAUGAGGAAAGAUUCUUGAAGAUAUUGAAGUGUCUAAACUUCUCUUAAUAGAGUAUAUGAGAUCUGGUGGAAUAGGUGUUCCAGUAACCAUGUAUUUAAAAACUAGGGCUUGUUGUUCAAGUUCUUGCCAUUGAUUUGGUGUGAAAAGUGACCUAUUUCUUGAACUUGCACUCAUCAUUUUUUGAGAAACAAAAAUAAGGAUUUUCUUGAAGAUGCUUUUAUUUAAGAGGGUUAAGAGGGGUUGGAGAUUAUUGUACUGUGCAUGGAUGGAUAAUAGUUAAUGAAUAUGAAAAUUGUGUUCUGCCACCUCUUCACUAAUUUUUGCUAUGUGGUGGAUGGGUGAGAUAGUGAGUCUGAACUUAUAAUGACUGAACCUGUGAUGCUUCUGUUUUUUUCUCUGCACCUGCCUUUGUUGUUGCUGCUGCUGCCCUUGUCUCUGACAUCUUUUACACAAAUUCAUAAACUAAUGUACAAAGAAAAAAUUAAAUGCAAAUGCAUGUUAGUCCAUGCACCUUUGGUUUUGCUGUCUCCACAUCAUUCUUUGAAAACAGUGCCAUCAGAUUAUGUCAAGUGUAAGCUGCUUAGCUACCUAUACUGCCUAUUUUAUCAUAUAUCAUGAUAUAGCAUCAAUUUUUUUUUUCUCUUCCUUUUUUCUUUAUAAUUUUUAGAUUAAGAAUAUAAAUUUGAUUCCUGAAGUUUAAUAUUUGAGAGACAUUCCAACCUCGCAUAAACAAUAAGGACAUCCUAUUAUCAACUUAUGAAUUGGUUAUAUAGCACGAUCAAAAGAUCUAAACCUAAAGUAAGAUAUUUUGGAGUGUUUAUUAGAGGUCAAAAAGUCCUUAAUCUAUAAGAAAUUAUAGAAGUUUAGACUCAAGCUUGAGUCACACGACGAAUGUGAGCAAAAAGUCUAACCAUACCAAUCGCAAUUGUAGUCGGUGGUAUAAAUCUCUUUUAACAAUCUUAGGAUAUGGUAUAGCUUUUGAAUAUAAGAAAGUCUAGUACGUGUCAUUUAUAAUCUUUUUUGGUUUAAGCAUGCCUGGCAUGAUCUUAUUCAUAGAUAUGGGAGGUCAUUGGCUAAAGCUGAAUCCUUUUUUUUUUUUUUUUUUAGGUACGGAAUGAUGUGUUAUCUUUUGUUACAUUUUCUCACCAUUAGGCAUCUUACUUUCAAGGAUAGAAAUUAGGUUACAGUCAAUUUUGGACUCUUAUGUUUCAUUGGGUACAGUCAUGUCAUGAUAAUCCUUUACAUGUUUGGCUGUUAAUAUGAUUUCUUCAACCACAAGAUGAAUACAUCAUCUUUUUGGGCCAUAUAGGAAUAACAGUAAGUGUGUGUUUCACUUCUCCUUUUUUAAAUAUUAAAGUUAUAGCUUGGUUACCAAAAAUAGGCUUUGGCCAAAUCAUUGUUUGAGGCUUUUCUAAUACGGUAUAAGAUGAAUUAAACAAGAUGUUAUAAGUACAUGUCUGGAUUAUAUUUUGUAGUUUCUAAAUUUCAGAUUGAAUAGAAAUAUCAAGUUUGAUACAACUUCUUUCUAAAUUACUUGUAAUUUUAUAAUAUCAACACAUACAAUAAUUCCAAUAAGGAAUUUCACAUUUAAUUUAAGUCAUUAAACAUUUAAUUUCUCAAAUGCUUUUAAGUCAUUAAAUAUUUUUCCUCUCUGGAUUUUAACAUUUAAUUUCUCAAAUGCAUUUAUUUUUUAAUGGGAGAAGAUUUCAUUGGACCCUCCAGUCACCGGAGAGGAUCCAUUCCCCACCAAUAACAACAACGAGCAAAUGAUCAAGGAAUGCCAAGACACCAAAUCUCUACUAAAAACUCAACGCAUAAAGUAUAUAUAAUGGUUUACCUCUCGUAUAAAUUUAAUAUGUAACUCAUUUAUAUAAUAAAUGUGAGACACUUGAGUCCAACCAUCUCCUUCUCAAGUGUGAGUUUUCUACAUCCUAUACUUGCACAUCUAUUAACCAAUAGAACACGCCCUUACUACAAUGCGAGAAAGAGUUCAAAUACAAGAAUCCAACAUCAUGAUCCACUCCAACUCCACAAUUAAGUCGAACUAAGACUCUAAUACCAUUUGUUGAGGUGUUUGAUGGAGCGUCAAGAGCAAUAGAACCAAUGAUCCAUGACCACGGUAGAGAAACAACUAAUCUCUAUUAGAAAUCUUAAGACGUUUGGUAUAUGAGUCACACCUAUUAUAUAUCUAAUAUUUAACUCAACUACAUUGGAUGUGGGAAACCACUCACACUCGAAUCCAACAAUCUUCUCUUAAAUGCAAGUCUCCCACAUUCUAUAUUUGCACUACAUAAUUCCAACAUAACACGUUUUCUAUGAGGACUUUCAAUACAAGGAUCCAACACUAGGAUUCCACCUCCACUCUCCCCAUCAAGUUGAAUCAAGGCUACCAUACCAGUUUUUGGGGAUUCUAGAGGAGAGCUGAGAAAAACAACGAGUCAAUGAUCAAGGAUCCGUAAGAGACUGAACACCACAUCUCUAUCCAAAAUUUAAAGAUUGAGUAUAUAAGUCAAAUCUCUUAUAUUACCAACAAUUUCCUCAUAACCAAUCAACUUGAAGAUUACAACUUUUAUUACUUUUAAAAAUUAUGAUUUGAAAACUACUAAUAUAAAUACCUCUUCUCUUUUUACAUGCUAUAUUAUAUCUUCUUAUUAGGAAUACAUGCUGUUUAAUUCAGUCGUUCAAGCUUCAUAAACUCCUAAUUUGUGGUAACUAAUCAUAUCAUAUAAAAAUACAAGAUACAUGACAAAUUUGAAUGUCAAACAAAUAUCAAUAUAGCAGCAAAGUGAAAGGUCUUUAUAUUUAUUUAUUUUUGCUCCCUCACACACACAGUGUUUCAGAGUUAUAAGCAUUAUUUAUCAUCAUCAUGAUGAUGUAACUUUUGAAGUUCACUGAUGCUGGUUGGUACAGUGGAAGUAAAAGACUAUCUAGCUGGUUCGUGCUUCUUGUUGUUUUGCAAUUGAAAGCACUUGUCUUUUUUUUUUUUUUUUUCUUCUACAGAAGGUGUCAGGAAAGUGCACUCUGAGGGUUAAAACUAUUCACAGACACUGUUUCUCUGUCCCAAAACACAUGCUUUAUUUUUAUUUUUCACACACCUAACUGAACCUUUCAUAUUGAUUAACCCAAAAAUUUCCUCAAUAACAUUUUCCUUUCAGCUUUUCUCUUUCUUUUUUUUGUUAUUUGCUGGCUGAUUCUGUGCUGUUACAUUGCAGGCUUAAAAAGAUCACCUGAGUGCCUUUUGUUUUUUUCUUUGACUGGAAUCAUCAGAGACUAUGCACAGGACUUCUCCACUUGUAAUUAUAAUAUAAUAUAAUAUUUUUAGCAUCAUAUACAUUAAUAUAUUAAACUAGUUUUGGAUUUCUUGCACAUUUUUCAUUUGCUCAUUAUGAUGCUUUUCUUUUAGCAUCCAAAAUUUAAAUUUUAUCAAAGUCAUGGUGACAUAUUGCGAUUAAUUAUACUAAAUUAAAGACUAAUUCAAACACACAUUAUUUUGAUUAAAAUUUAGUUGAAUAUACAAUGAUUUAUGCUAGCUAGUUAUUAACAUUAAAGUAAGUUAACUAUGAGGAUAAUAUUGAUGUGUUGUUGGAAUGUUCACUGCAAGGCAAGCUUGGCGUGUGGUUCAAUUAUGGAACACAAUUGACAGAACUCUCCGAAAAAAUUAUAAUAUGGAUGCACUUAUUUUUACUCUUCUUGAUCAGCUGCCUUUGGUCCAAAGAGAGUUAUUUGUGACGAUUAUGUGGAGUAUGUGGAAGCGUAGGAAUUUGAAAUUGUGGCAGCAGCAAAAUGAAACGAUCAUGCAUGUAUUGGAGCGUGCAAAGCAUACCCUGGAUGAUUGGCGAUCAGCCCAACAAAUAUGGUUGCAAAGAGAAGAUGUACCUUUGACGCACCAAGGCAAUUCUAGCGAUAGUAUGGUGGUGGAAUGGUCGAAGCCGGCUUAUGGUAGGUAUAAAUGUAACAUUGAUUCCUCCUUUUCUUCUUCCAUGAAUAUGUGAGUAUCAGGAUUUGUCUUCGUGAUGACAGGAGCGAAUUUGUUAGUGCUAAAACAUAUUGUUUUUCCCCUCUUUGUAAUGUUGUUGUGGGUGAGGCCGUAGGCUUUCAUACGGCGUUGAAAUGGAUGGCGGAACUUCACUAUGAUAAUGUCGACUUUGCUUUAGAUUCUAACAUAGUGGUUGAUCAUUUUCGGUCUUCUUUAGAGAAUGACAAUGAGUUUGGAUGUAUUAUGCAUGCUUGUAAACAAUUGUUUCAGAUUAGUUUUCAGAACUCUUAUGUCGAGUUCAAUAGGAGGCAAACCAAUGGGAUCACUCAUGCAUUAACUAAGGUAGCCCCAUCUCAUGCUAGCUUCCAUGAUUAUGAUAAUGUACCGUCAUGUAUUUCUUUUUUGAUUGAUAAUAAGAAGCAAUGAAUUUCUCCUUUAAAAAAAACAUUAAGUAAGUUUGUAUGAUAAAUUCAAAACUCAAAAUCACACUUACAAGUUAACUUCAAGUUACACAUAAAUAUUAGACAAUCGAGCAAUACACCACUAAGCUUUUUUUUUUUUAUAGCAAAACCAAUUAUUGUAAAGGAGACAAUUUUAUGAAAAAAAUACUCAAAUAUUUUAAAGAGUGUGUUCGAAAAUUAGUAUCUCCACGGACAUCACUUUGGUGAUAUUGAGGUGCCAAUGUCAUGGCCAACCACAAUGUCACAAGUGUGCAAAAUGACAAAAAAUGCUUGUUAGUGAGUAAGAAGAAAGUCAUAAUUUUUUAUCAUUUUGUACACUUAUGAUAUUGUGAUUGAUCAAUAUCACCAAAGUGUUAUCCGCAUCUCCACACUCCCACCAUGAGUUAAAGUGUGUUUUUAUUUUAUUUUAAUUAUUUAUUGAAACGUCAUGCGCUAUAGUAAAAAUAUGCCAAUGCCAUAGAAAGAUGGGUAAAUGUGUGGUGGGAUCUAGUCUAUGCAGCUCCAAAUUAGGGCCAAAUAUAUGAAAUCAAUGUUACCUGUCUUUAUAAGCACUUUUAACUCAUAAAAAAACUUCUUUCUUUUAAAAAAAAGACACUCAUACAAAAACUAAAUUUAAACGUACCAAUAACAUGUGGGUAAGAUUUCUUAAAAAAAAUAAAAAUAAAUAACAUGCGGGUAAGAUGUAAGAUGGUUUGAAUCUUUCAAGUAAGAGGUUGAAUAAUGCUAAUGCUAGAGUAACAUUUUCAAUACACUCUAUUGUUGAGUUAUAAUUCAGUCGAGGGUGCCGUUUUCGAUAGGAGAUUUAAAUAGUCUCCUAUGGUGGAUGACUUUAUAAAAAACUAAUUAUUUUUUUUUUUUUAUUUUACAAUAAAGAUAACAUGUGUAAACAUUAGAUGGUUGAAGAACACUGAACUUACUGUAUUCCCUUAACAUUGAAUUUUCUUCCCACUUUCUUCAACCUCAGCCAAAACAACCAUAGGAAAAAAACAUUUUCUUCCUCUUUCCGUUCUCUCAUCUCUUCCGCCGCCGCCGACAUCCUCCUUCCCCACCACCGUAUUCUCCAUCAUCGUCAAAUUAUAUACUUCAUAUUCUUCCUAAUUACUUUUAUCCAAAUUUAUCUUCAUGUGUUCUUCCCAAAUCCAAUCUUCUUUCAUCUUCACCAAUUUGUUCUUAAAAAUCCAGAUCUAAAAUCAAUAACCAAUCUUUCCUUAAGGAAUUUAAAACCUGUUAACGAUGCAACUUUAAUUAAUAAGAAAGAAGACCCACCAAUAUGAUGAAACUGGCACAGCAGGAUAGGAUUGGACUUUUAUCAAUGAAAUUGAACUAGCGCCACACAACAUUAACAAAGGCUCACGACACCAACAACAUGAAGGAAGCAAACCCACUACACAAAUAAAAUUUAUACAUCCUUAAGACAUGUCGUUGCUUUCCACCCAUUACACAAACACCAAACCCCAUCAUUCUCUUAAUCAAGAAGACAACCUACCCACUGAACUCUCUCAACAAAGCCUCAAUAUUGUUUUGUUUAAUUGAAUUAUAUUUUAAUGAUUUUCUUGUUCAAUUGAUGUUUGUGGUAUUCCUGUUCAUAAAAAAUAAUUGAUGUUUUUAACAACAACAGCAAUUAAAAUAUGAGAGGGAUUGACCAAAGAGUGGAAGUGUACGGUGUUAAAAGAAGGAUGAUGGGGUGGUGGUGAGCGAGUAGGGAAUAAGCAGAGACAUGGAGAGGGUUAGAGAAGGAUAUAUGAUGGAAUAGUGUAAAAAGUAUCUAGUGUUGAGAGAGUAUAAUAAUAUCAUGGUCAUCAAAAGUUUUCAAAUAUAUCCAAUGAUUAACAUCUAUUUUACAAAAACAAAAUAAAAAAAGUCAAGUCUCCUACGGUAGGAGACCUAAAGAGAUCGCCUACCGUAGCCUUUGCCUUCAGUCGAAUAUAAAUGUAUGUUAUAAAGGACAUACGUGAUUAUGUAACGUGAAUAUGUUACUAACACUCUUUCAAAAGUUUUAAAACUUAUCUUCUUUAGAUUACUACUAACUAACACUGAGAAUAACAGUCGCCCAAUAUUAUAAUUAUAUAUUCCAUGUGAGAUUAGUCACUUGCUCAGAAUGUAGAUUAUCAAAUAUCAUAUUCUCAUAAUUAUAUUUAAAACUUAUCUUCUUUCUUAGUGCAUUUAUAAUGAUGGAUAUUUUAGUUAUUUAACACAAAUUAAAGCUAAAUUGGGAAUUUCUAUGAAACACGGAUAUGUACAUAGAUAUUGGAAACGAUACAGAUAUCGACACACCGACGCCUUUAAUAAUAUGAGAAAAUCAUAUAAUUUAGUAUAAUUUAUAAGUAUCAGUGUCGGACGCGACUCAUGUUCGACACCGGAACACGCCUUAUUCAAGGAGUGUCUUUGCUUCAUAGGACAUGAAUAUCUAUAGAAAAAUCCUCUUUUUCUUCUGUAUUUGUGGCUUCCACGUAACAAAUUUUAUUAAAAUAAACUACCAAUACACUUUUUUUUAAUAAAAUUUAUUACGUGAAAUACAAUGAUACAAAAUUAUUGAUAAAACCUAUUUAACAUUUUUUUUUUUGAAUGAUAUAUACACGAGACAUUCUUAAACAUCCAGACACAGGGGAGGGGAGCUUUUAUUAUAGAUGCUACGUAGUUUAUCACUCAGAGUUGUUCUCUUUUGUUUUUUGUAAAUAGUUGUUGUUACUAUUAUUUACCCAACCAAUAGCCUUAGGUGGCAUAAAUAUGUAUUCAUCAUAGACGUGACAAUUUUUAAUGCAAGACAGUCAAAACAGUAAACAAUUAAUAACAAUAAUCAGAGCGAAAAUAAAAAUAAAAAUUAUACUAAAAAAUCCAGGUUGAUAAAACAAUUGCUCCCUCAAGUACUUUCAAUUUCAACAAUACUAACCAAUAAAAAAAAAGUACUUUCAACAAUACAGUAUAAAAUAUAAAUUAUUGUUGCAAAAUAUUCAUGGCAAGUCAGGACGAAUAAAUUACGAGAUAAAUUAUAGACAGGAAAGUACUACGAAUAUCAUUCAGUCAUGAAUUUAGGGGACACUUUUUUUAUAUGACAUCACAAUUAAAUAAGGACAUUCCAUAAAAAAAACAAAAACUACGACCAUAUACAUCUUAAACUUUGGAUCGACUCCUAUAAAGUGACUAUUUAUUAGAAAUAACGAGUCAAACAUGAUUUAUGAUUUACACUUUCCUAAAAAAAAAGAAUAAAAAUAAUUGAUUUGCUUGUAAACAAAUGAUAUUUCUCGCUUAAUUUUGUGGAGUGAAUUGCUUACAUCCACUUUUACAUUCAACAUGAGACAUACAUUUGAUCUAUCAUCAAACUUUUUCUUAAGUAUAGGUCUAUCUAUCCAUUCAGUUAGGACCGUUUCCCCUUAAAUGGAAGUUUCUUUUUUUUUAAAUUUUUUUAUCCACAUACAUUUUUACCAUCGUUGACUCAUGAUAUCAACUAAGAUAUGCCGCUUGGUCACCAUUGCCGAAAGACAUUCGAUACAAGUAGUCGCUCAACUUUAGUUAAAUAAUUGACUCUAAUACCACUAUUCGAGCUAAUAGCAACUGACAAUGGGAUUGAACGCCACAUUAACAUGUCAUUAGCUAGUAUAAAUCACACUUGGCAUACCAUUAGAUAGUAUAAAUAAACAUCUUAAAUUCCUAAUGUAAAACUCCUACUCAAGAUAAAAAAGAAUGGUUACAUAUCUCAGUAAAUAUAGUUCAAUUAAUAAAGACAUCGCAUUAUAUAUGCAGGAAUGGAGUUCAAACCAUAAAUUCCUCACUUAUUAACCUUAAAGGUAAAUUUCUAUCCAGUAUACUAUUAAAAAUAAAAUAAAAUUAUAACACUCAUUUCCCACAUACCAAAUUAUCACCUACAAAUGUAUCAACUCUCCACUUGAUCAUCCAGUAACGAGGAUACUUCACCUCUUCAUAAAUCUAUAUAUUUAUAAGUGAUUUCCAUCCAUGAAUAUGAGAGAAGUGAACAUUAAUAAUCCUAUCUCUCUCUCUUUAUCAAUGUGGGAUUCUCAAGUGUCAAAAUACAUUCGUUCACCUAAGGGUGGCUCUUAGCAUGGGCGAGAGGGACGACCGUCAAAAGCACCAUAUUUUUAAGGGCAUUAAAAUUAAUAUUUUUACUUAGUGGUUAGUAUUAUAUAAAUAUGUUUUUUUUUUUAAAUUGCUUUAGUUGAUAUUAUUGAAAAUAUGUUUUUAGAGAACAUGAUUAUAAAUGAAUAUUUUACAAAAAGAAAAAACAAGAAGAAAGACAUUUAUAUAAUUAAAAGGACAAAGCUUUAUUGAUUCACCAAAGACAACAAAAAUCUUAAGAUUGACCCUGCUUUCACCUCUUAAAUUUUCACUCAUCUGCAUUUCCUUGGAAAUUUGAACUAUUUCCCAACAAGAUGUAAUUUUGUUCUCUUUUAAACAAGUAGAGAAUAUGACUCAUUCACUUAAGUGCAUAUAUUUUUUUUUGACAAACACUUAAGUGCACACUUAAAAUUAAAUAUAAUGUAUAGGAUUGGUCCAUGACCGAGUGAAACAAAAUAUAAACUCUUGUUUGGUUCUUUAAAUAAAAAUAAAAAUAAACAUACUCUUGUUUUGUCAAUUUUUUUUUAGUCAAAUAAUACGGAUUCAAAAAGAUAAAAUGGAUAAGCCCCAAACCCAAAUACAAAAUGGUUGUUUCCCCUAUUUGCUAUUUAUCUUGGAAAAAAAUUGUUAGGUUAUCUCUUAAAGCUUUUAAAAACAUAAAAAAAAUGUCCUUCGAAAUUUAUCUCUUGAACGGUCUCCGCAUUUAUGGGAGACAAAAGAACAACCAUCAAAUACAAAACACUUCCAGGAGUUAUUUACUGGAAGAACAAAAUCGAAUUUUUAAAAAUAAACCUCCGGUAGUUAACUACCGGAAGUGUUAUCAAGGACAAUUUUGUAAUUUUGAAGGGCCUAAAGAGAUAUGGAGGGGGCCUAAAAAGAAACCUCCCAAAAGGCUGAGCAAGGAGAAACAACAAGGCCCAAAGAUAAUUUAGCUAACUGCAUCCACUGUUAUAGUGGUAAUGCUGUAUACGAAAAUAUGUUUAGAUACACCCCCUUUGUUUGUUGUGGAUUAGUAGAUGUUGGUGGACUUUUUUGCAAAAAGAAACGAUAUUUAUUCAUUUAAAUUGAUCGUGUACAUUGAUGUAAAACAAAUUCAAAGCGCUAAAAACAUAAACGAUAUUUAUUCAUUCAAAUUGAUCGUGUACAUUGAUGCAAAACAAAUUCAAAGUCGCUAAAACAAAAAGAAUGAAUCUGCGAACAAAUUCACAACAUCUAUAUUAACAACAUAUAAUAUGAUAGAGGACGUAUGCCUACACAUAUGACUAUAUUUAAGUCUUUGGAAUACUCAUGUCUCGGAUCUUCAAGUUGACGAUGCAAAAGUCAUUGAUUGGAUCUACACUUGAUAAAAACUACUAUUUCAACUUGAAUCAAAUAAACAACGCACAAAAACGGAAAAUCAAAACAAACAAAAUCACGAUAAGACGACGAAAUUACAAAACAAAUGAAAAAAAAACUAAAAAUAUGUGCUUGCUUAAAAAACCAACAUAUGUUUAAUCACACGCUAUAGCAUAAUAAGGACUCCCUCCGUUUUGAAAUAUAAACAAAUUUUACUUUUUAGAUUCAUUCAAUUAAUAAUGUAUGUGGUCCAUAUUAUGAACGACAUACAUCAUUAAUUGAAUGAACUUAAAAAGUAAAAUUUACUUAUAUUUUGAAACAGAGGGAGUAACUAUCAAUCGAAACUUGUCCCCAGCGUCUUUAAUCUAGCAAGUUAAUUCAUAUCAAGUUCUUUAUUUUAGUAUAACAUCAAAAUCUAAAAGUACUUUUUAUUGCAAUUUUUCAGUCUUAUUACUCUAUUAUACAAUAUAUUGCCCCAUCAGACAUUUAACACUAUUAUACAUCUUAUGAAGUAACUUUUUAGAGUGAGAUUCAAGUCUAUUUAACACUUAACAAGAAAAUUAACCACAAAAUGUUAGAAUAGCAGUAUCAUACAUAAGUUAUAACCACAGAAUAUGGUAGAAGAUAUUGAUAAAAUGAAGAUAAAUAUCAGGCAGAAUCAUCAUUUAUAUUUGCAGAUAUUUUGCCUAGUCGUUGUCCAAUAAAUAUCUAAAGGAAUCCCUGCAAAAAUCUUGUUCUAGUUAACUAGUUAAAGUGAAAAACUGUGAACAAAAAACUUCAGAAAAACAUCAUAAUUUUACAGUACUUUUUUUGAGCGUUACUGUUAAUUUCCACCUUGUCUUUCAAUUAGGCUUUUUAAUUAAUAGUUUAAAUUCAAUAACUAGUUCUCCUUGAACCACUAAAAUUUUCAGCCACACAUGUAAAAGAUCCCUUAUUAUCUUCAACAUUGUCACAAUAGUAAUUAUGCAUUGCUACUUUAAUUGGAAAAUUGUAAGUAAAGCCUCUUUCUUCUACUUGCAUAGUAAAUGACAAAACCUAACUCAAUCGACAAUAAAUUUGUUAUAUAUGCUAGCUAUAUACUUUUGUACCCUUAAUGCAACGAGGUGUUCUAUACCAAAUGAUGCUGAUAAGAAAUCUUAGCAUGAAGGACUGUUCUCUUGUCCACAAAUAUACAUAUGGUUCUUGUUGACACAACAAUAAAUCUUCUAGCUGUCAUUAAAAUGUCUGUUCAUGACCCUCUUCUUCUGCCCAUGUGAUGUUGGACCACAUCUAAUUACUUCCCUUUUUCCUUUUUGUUUUCAUUCUGUUAUUGUUUUGUUUCACCAUGAAAAACAUUACCUGGUUCUCUAAAAUUAAGGAAAAUAAUUGCUUUGUCUGUAAACUGUUUUUCUUAAUUAACUUCUUGACAUGACGUAUUUGUGGGUUGUUAUAUUCAAAAUGAUGUAGAUUGAUGACAUAUAUAUAUUUUAAGGAAAAUGCUAACAUGUGUCUCUGAAGGACUAGUUAAGGAAAUAAGUAUAAUAGGAAUUUCUUGGAACUUAUGUAAUCAAGUAUUUAAAAGUGGAGAAAAUACUGACUUCAAUACUCCCUCCGUCGCAAUUUAACUGAGUUCUUUGCUUAUUUCACACUUAUUAAAAAAAAUAUAUUAAUGAAGGAAAGAGAAAAAUGGUUUUAAGCGCUCUUGUCAAGUAUUGGUGCAUUUAUCAUUAUCAUAAAUGCAAACUAGAAUAUAUUGAAUUGGGAGUGAUGAAAGUAGUAUUAAUUAGAGUUAUAAUUGGAAAAAGGAAUUAAUAUUGCAUUAAAAAGUGAAUAUGUCAGUUAUUUUAGGACAAUAUUUUGACAAAAGGAUCAGUUAUUAUGAGACGGAGGGAGUAUAAAACUUACACCCUCUGGUCACUAUUAUAAAAACUUUAAAUUUUAGAUUCAUUCAUUAAAUAAUGUAUGUGGUCUAUAAUAAAGACCAUAUGCAUCAUUAAUUGAAUGAAUCUAAAAUGUAAAAUUUUACUUAUAAUAGUGACCGGAGGAUAUAUCUUUUUUGUUUCCUUAACUGGUGUCCCGGAACACCGAUAAACAUGACUAAUUUUUCAACUUCAAUAUAUGUUAUUAGCUAGGAUUAUAGUUAUGGUUAUUAGGAUUAUAGUUAGAACUCAUGAUUUUAAUAACAACCGUUCAACCAUUGAUUAUGUUGAAAUUUAAGUGUGAGUUAGUCUCACCUCGAACUAAGAAUAACUUCAUUAAAUGAUACAUAAGAGAUGUAAAGUAAAUACUAAAUACUUUAAGAUUUUGGGUGGAAAUAUAACGUGCAUAACUCAUAGAGUCCGUUCACUUUUCAUAUUACUUGUUUUCAUUUUCAUUUUUCAACUAAUAAAAAAUAAGAGAAUAUAGAUCCAACAUUUAGUAUUUUGAGAAAUUUUCAAAAUGCAUUCCUGCUAGUUUUCCUAUCUUCUCUUAAUCACAAUUGUUUAUUACAUAAGUCUUCUAUCUCUCUCCUUGCAAACAAUUUAAAAUAAAAUAAACAUAAAUUUUAGAAAAUGAAAACAAAUAUGUCUUUCGAAAGUAAAACGCUUUAGUAGGAAUCCUCAUCUUUAGUUUGUUGUUGCUCCUGAUGCUUCUCCAGGUUCUUGAUUUGAUUUGAUGGGAGAGCGGGAGUGAACUCGGGUGUGAUUGAUUAAAUAUAGUGAUGUAGCUGAUUCACACUUGAGGAAGAGUUUGUUGGAAUUCAAGUGUGAGUAAUUAGUUCCACUUCAACUAAACAUGUAAAAGAGACGACUCAUAAUACUCUAACUGCCUUGAGAGUUUUUGAUAAAAGUGUAGUGUUAAUCUUUAGCCUAGUGUUCCUUCUCCAAACUCCUCAACAAAUUAUGACUUCAACUUAAAAUCUUAAUCUAGCUUUUUUUAGGGGAAAAUCUUAAUCAAAGUUAACAUUGAUUGGUUAACACUUUGUCCAACCUUAAAUAUAUUUUCUAUCCUAUUGACCUUUUCAGUUUCAAGACCCAAAAUGGCAAUAGCAAACAAGUUUUUCCUUUUACUGAUCAAAUGAUUUAUUAAUUAUGAAAGAAAAGGGAGGGGUAGGGGACCUUUGUCAGCUGGAAUGUCCCAUAUUUUAUAGCAUUUGUCAUUUAGUGCUGCAUUGGAAUAUGCUUACCCUCCAACUUGCAACAAAAUUUCUUAUAUAUAACGCCAUUCUAUAGCAAGAAAUCUUCAAUCCCACAUUCACAUUCAAACCAAAUUCAUCAUCAAACAAACCCAAACAUGAUUCAAAUCAUUUUCCUCCUUUCACUUUUCCUAUCCAUUUCCAAUGCUUCUGUUCAAGAUUUCUGUGUAGCAGAUAUCAAAGGCUCAGACACUCCUUCAGGCUACCCUUGCAAGCCAGCUUCAACAGUAACCUCAGAUGACUUUGCAUUUGAAGGCUUAAUUGCACCUGGAAACAUAACAAACAUUAUCAACGCCGCCGUUACACCUGCAUUUGUUGCUCAAUUUCCAGCUGUUAAUGGUCUUGGUCUCUCUGCAGCAAGGUUAGACCUUGGUCCUGCUGGUGUUAUCCCACUUCACACUCACCCUGGUGCCAGUGAACUUCUUGUUGUGACACAAGGUCACAUCACUGCUGGAUUUGUUUCAUCAGCUAACACUGUUUAUAUCAAGACAUUGAAGAAAGGUGAGCUUAUGGUUUUUCCACAAGGUUUGUUGCAUUUUCAAGCUACUGCUGGUAAGAGAAAUGCUGUUGCUUUUGCUGUUUUUAGUAGUGCUAGUCCUGGACUUCAGAUUCUUGAUUUUGCACUUUUUGCAAGUAACUUCUCUACUCCUUUGAUCACUAAGACCACUUUCCUUGAUCCUGUUCUUGUCAAGAAGCUUAAGAGUAUUCUUGGUGGCAGUGGUUAAGUAACUAUAUAUGUGUUCCGACCUCAAGUCACAUUUCCGAGGUAUCUUCUGGUUUGAGGUACUGUGUAAGUCCGCACGGUUUUGCUCUUUGUAAAAGGCAUCUGAGUGGACUAAGAAGUGUAGAUGUUUUUAUAAACUACCAUUGACCUUGAUUCUGAAGUAAUGUGGAAUUUUUUGGUGUACCGGAACAGUAUGCUUAUAUUUUAUGUUCAUUGAUAGUUGUUAUUUGAUUCAACCAAUUUUCUUAUUUUUUUUUUUUCUUUCUUUUUUUGAGUUCAUUAGUUCCUUGUAUGUAAUUGAAUUCCUUGUAUCAAUGUGAAGUAAUAAAUUUGUGAGUAUGGUUUUAUUUUUUCCAUUUGUCUGUUCCACAACUAUAUGUUGAGAUUAAUUUGUGUAGCUAUAUAUUUUGAAGGACAAUUUGAUCCAAUUUCCCAUGUUGAUAUAUAACCUGCAUGUCACUGUUAUGUUGAGAUAAAGUUUUAUCUUAUUGAUUUCUCUUUUCUAAAGAUGAUAGUUGUCCUAAUUCAAUUUGGCCCCACUCCAACAAUGGGUGCAACAUGUUGUAUAUAAAUUAACAGCUAAUAUUUAUAUAAAAUGACAAAUAUAUAUAUAUAUAUAUAUAUAUAUAUAUAUAUUUUAUGAAAUUUUCAUGAGUGUUAAAAUUUGAACUUAAUUUACCAAUAUGAUUGGGAGAGUUGGUAAAUUCAAUCUCCCCCUAUUUUUUUUUUUUAUUCCCUAAGUCGCUUAUUUGAGAAGCAAUCAGAUAAAUAUAAAAACAAAUGUUCUACCGUUAACUUGAUGAUUGGUUUUAUAGCGAACAUUUCAAAGUAAAAAAACUUUACUUUGAAUAGUAAAGUAAAGUAAACUAUUCAAAAUAUACACCAAUUUUUGAAUAGUUUGUUUACUUUAAUUUUCUUGAUUUAAAAACAUGAUGAUCACUUGCAUUAUCAUUGUUUUUGAGAAUUAGCAAUUCAUUUGACCACUGCCAUAAAUUGGAAUACGACUGAUAAAUGCGUGACAUGCAAAUUGUAAUUUGAUCCAAAACUAGGCCACACACUUUCUUAACUGACAGCACAAUUAUUUAACUGAUAUGCAUGCACCAAUUUGCAAAUGAUAUAACGUAAUUUAUAAGAACUAAAAUUGUGUGUAGGACGCCAAACGGUCGCAGAAACUAAAAUGCUGGAGCAAAAUAUCUAGAACAGAGCACCCAUUUGAUAUUUGAUGGUACAAACAAAGAAUCCUCUAUCUUAGUUGAUGUUAGCACAAUAACAAUACAUGCCGUCUGUAAGUGCAACUUCAAUUUAUUUUUAUGUUAAAGACCAAACUGUCUUGGAUUUUUCUGUUUGAAAUUAAAAUGAAACUUAGCUCCUAGAGAAAUGUUAACCGGUGCCUCCGGGACACUGGUUAAGGCAUUUAAAUGGUCCUGAUUCUACAAAAGUCCUUGAGUAAAAUCCUUUAAUUUUGAUUGCGAUUUUACGAGUCCCGAUUUUGCUACUUCCUUUCGACUGGAAGUCUCGAUUUUGAUAACCUUAUUUUGUAAUCCUUAAAGAGUGCCCUGGGGGCACUCGUUAACAAGACCCUAGCUCAUAUUAUGACCCAUACAAACCAAUGGUUUAGACCACCAUGAAUGAAAGUCAACAAAAUCAAUAAUAUGUGCGUCUUUAGCCACCACCAAGAGUGAAGAUUAACACAAUCCAGAAGCCGCUUCAACAUUAAUUCUUUAUUGUGAAAAAUACAGUCAUUGCGCUCCUUUCAAAUAAUUCAGAUAAAAGCCAACCAAAAUACCUAAAAACAACACUAAAUAUCUUUCCUAAACCCACGAGAACCACCAAAUUGUAGAGCAUGCUUGUCAACAUUAGAGUGAUUUACCGUAGAAAUUCGCAGCCACUUUAGGAAAGGGUGCCAAAUGCCUUUGAAGAAAUCACAAUCAAGGACAAGAUGAAUAAUUGUUUCUCCUUCUCGCACCCUCAUGAACAUAGUAAAUAUUCGGCAUGCAGCACACCAAGAUGAUAUAUCCUUCAUCGAGUAACCAUCAAGAUGAUUAUGAGUCCAAACCCAUUUAUCCAAAACUUCAUCUAGCAAGAAAAUGUCAUCUAAAAGAGAAAGACAAUGACAACUGUUCUUCCACUCACGUAAGGAAUUGCCUUCUCGACCGCCACGCUUGUCCAUCAACCCCUCAUCCUUGCCUCCUCAUCUCCGUAACACUAACACACCUAUCAAUACAUAAAUAAAAUAGACGCAUAAAUCUAGACCUCAAACACGCUCCAUGCAAUCAAGGAUCACACCUAAAAGGUGUACUUUCUCCAUCAUCAAUUCUGCGACUCACCCCUUCCUUAGACCAACUCGCUUCCCCUCCCUCCACCCCCUCUCUAAUGACACACAUAUCCUAAUAUGAUUUUCCUCAUCCCCACUAAUUGGAAGACCCAAAUAAACAAAAGAAAAUUGCCUAAUUUUACAAUUCAAAACACAGUCACUUUAACCAACUAAGAUUCCUCUACACUGACACACCAACAAGUAAGCUCUUGUGAAAAAUCACUUUGAGAUCGGAUAUAAGUUAAAAAAGCAUUAAAGUAGCCUUCAAAAUUCUAAUUUUUCCCAAUUGUGUUGUAACAAUUUGCACACAGUGUUAUUAUCUAGUUGUCUAACGUUAGACAACAACCAUGAUUUUUCUCUUAAAGUUUUAACGUUAUAGUCUUAUCUGUUGUUUUUAUGUUCUUUUAUUUUUCUCCAUGUAUAUUUUUCCCAACAAAUCUAAAGUAAUAAAAGAUGAGUAAUGCUCCUUAAACACCCUUUUAAUAAAAGAUAAAGGGUAUGUUAAUCCAGGGCCGUUCCUAGCGUUUUACGGGCCUUAUGCAUAAUAUAAAAAUAGGGCCCUUACAUAAUACAUUAUAAUUUUUUUUAGGUCAUUGUUGUGUUUUUUUAUUUCACUUUUCACUACCAAAUAAAUGUUUUUUUAGAUAACAUCUGAAAAUAAAUUAAAUACUAUAUAUACACCAAAACAAAAUGAAAUAUCGUACAAGUAGAGAAAAAUAGCACAUCCGAAGCAGACUGAAAUUUUAGCACCCCAUUAUCAAAUAAAAUAGAAUUUACUUUGUAAUGAAAAUUAUCUCAAUUUCUUGGAUAAUAAAUAUCGUCGAUAUUUUUAAUAUUAGCGAAGCACAUUAUUAAGAACAAAGGGCCCAAUAAAAUAUCACUAAUUUCUUCGAUAAUAAAUUUUCAAACAUAUUAUUAAGAACAACCAAUUUUUUUUAUAGGAGGGUGUAUAUAGAAAUUUUUGUGCUGCAUGGGAUAUAUAUAGCAAAUCUCACUAAUAGGGCAAAAAACAUUAAUAGAUUUCAGUCCAUUUCUAUAACAUGUCAAAGAUUGGACCUUUUUAGAGAAGUUUACUAUAUAUACCCCCUAAAAUCCAAAUAUUUCUAUAAACACCCUCACCUUAAUUUUUUUUUGAACCCCCUACCAGCAAGGGCCCUAGACCGUCGCACUCGUGGCCUAUGCCCUAGGGCCGGCCCUGUGUCAAUCUGUUGUACCAAAAAUAAAAGGAUAUCAACCUGUAAUUGACGUCAAAUCGAAAGUAAUGCCUUCGUAGCCAUCCCACUAGCUUUAAGAUCUAAACUAAACUUAAAAUUUAGAAAAAGUUGAAAAUAUUAGAAAGUCUUAAUGGUCACCCUUGGGCCUUGGUAUACAUGUGCGUUAGUGUGACAAUAUUAAAGGCUGUACUUAGGACUAAAUCAAUAUUUUAGUUUUAAAAAAAAUGAAAGUUUGACAAUUUAGUUACUUAAAUUUACCAAAAACUAGCUCCAUUGUUAAGUAGUAUAUGACUCUAUUUAUUAAAUCAAGGGAAUUAAGAAAAAAAAAAAUUCCUCAAAAGAAAAAAAUAUUAAAAUUAAUUUGUUAAUAAUUGAUAUAGUUUUACAAGUUGAUCUUUCAGAAGAUAUAAUUAGUUUAUAUAUUCGUCAUGAUAUUAAUUUCAAGUUGCAGUAAAAGAUGUCAUAUGAAAACUCUUAAGAGUUUAAUCUAAUGGUAAAAUGACAAGCUUUGUAUUGAGAUGUUUUUGGUUUGAACAACCUUAGUAUUUUUAAAGGGAUGUAAAUCUAAAUCUUUUUUAGUAUUCUUCACGACUUAAGAUUUUCCUUACCUUGACCUUGAUGCCACACCCCCUCACCCUAAAUUUAUUAUAUUAAUUGAAAAUUGCUUGUUCAAAAAAAAAUAUUAAUUGAAAAUUGUCAAAUAACCAAGGGUAUGAUAAUCCUCUCCUAAAAUAUAAGAAAACUUAGGGGUGUACAAUAAUAAAGAAAUAAUUAGUGCAGUCAAAUUUUGAAUGUCUUAUAAAAAUGGAUAAAGAUUUUUUUUUUAACCCUUCUUAUAUUUAGAGACGGUGAUAAUAAUUAAACAUGUGUAUGUUUGAUAAGGUCAAACCACUAAUUUAUAGUGAGUGACUUAUAUCGUAUAAUCUCAUAUAACUUUUUAAUAGUUAUUCUCUCACGAACUUAUGUCAUUUUUUGAUAUGCUAUCUAUGUAAUAUUUGAGUUUAUAGUUUAUUGUAGUUUACUAGAUUAUAAGCAAAAGAGUGUCUAAAUUUGUUUGACUCAAAUAAAUGUUUUUUAUGCACAUUUAACGUUAGUAAUCCAAAAACUAUCUUUUUGCUUAUAUUUGAGUCGAACAAAUUAUAACAUUCAUAAGCUAGGUUAUGUAAUUUUAUAUUCAUCAGAUAACCAAAUAGAUAGUUUUAUUUCUCUAAAAAAAAUAGAUAGUUUUGUCAACACUUUACAUUUAAACACCAUAAAUUCAUGAGCUAUUAUAUAUUUUAUCCACCAUAAUCCAAUUCACUUUCAUUUUGAACGAUGAGGAAUCAAAUUUUGCCCUCUCACGUGAAAAUUUCACAUGAAAUGAUGAAUUCAUGCAAUGCAAUAACCCCAGUGCUAGUUUAAGUAUUGUCCUCUAAGUUAUAGUCUCAUAAGUCAUAAGAUCUAGUUUGACUUGUCAAAUCAAUAUUUAACUCAUGUUAACGUUACGUUGAAGGUCUUUUACAUGCACAACUAGGCCUAAUGCAUGCAUUAUAAUUAAACCAAUCACCAUAUCUUUAGGCUCAAACAUUGCAAUAUUAAUUCUUAAUUAUGCAAGCAUUACUAUAUAACACCUUACCAACCCCACAUUUCUAUUCACUUACCAAUACCAACACAUUAUUAAUCCAUCUAAACUCAAAAUGAUUUUCAUUAUUUUCCUCUUAACCCUUCUCUCACAUUCCACAACCAAUGCUUCUGUACUAGACUUCUGUGUAGCAGAUUUAUCUUCUUCACAAACUCCUUCAGGCUACCCUUGCAAAAAAUCAGUAACAAUCAAUGACUUUGUUUACUCCAACUUCAAUUCAGGAAACACUUCAACAAAUUUUUUCAAAUUUUCAAUAACUCCUGCAUUUGUUAAUCAAUUUCCAGCUGUUAAUGGUCUUGGUUUAUCAGCAGCAAAAUUAGACCUAGACGUUGGAGGUAUAAUACCAAUGCAUUCACAUCGCGGCGCUUCGGAGUUAAUGAUUGUAGUACAAGGUCGUAUAACUGCUGGUUUUAUUUCUUCUGAUAAUACUGUUUUUAUCAAGACACUUUCAAAAGGUCAAAUUUUGGUUCUUCCACAAGGUUUGUUGCAUUUUCAAUAUAAUGCUGGAAGGAAUAAAGCUUCUGCUUAUCUUACUUUUAGUAGUGAAAACCCUGGUUCACAAGUUCUUGAUCUUGCUUUGUUUGGAAAUAAUUUGAGUUCUGCUAAUUUGAUAAAGAGCACUUUGCUUGAUCCUGCUCAAGUUAAAAAGCUUAAGGCUAUUUUUGGUGGGAGUGGCUAGGGUUUAAGUACUUAGUUUUCUUGUUUUAUUAUCCAAACCAAUGUUGUUUGUUGUUUUGACAAGUAGUAGUAAGGUUUGGUAAUUGUUUUGUCAUUGAAUUCCACUAAUAAAAGUUGUGUGUUUGUUUUCUUCAUUUUUCUGUUUCAGUCCCUAAUGCCAAGUUUGUAAUUAAUUUGGCCAUGGUUUGCAGAUUAACAUAUAUAUAUAUAUAUUGGAUCAAAUUAUAUUUUUCCUUUGGUUGUUAAAAGUAUGAUUCCUAUCCAAUCCCUAUGCAUUUUACUAAUUUUCUAUCCAGCCAUGGUUCUAAUAUUACCUGCAAAAUUAGUAAAUAUUAUCUUUCUGUUGUUAAAGUACGGGUAAUAAGAGUGGAUAAGUGUCCUUCGUAUAUGGCUAGCACCAAACUUAUUAGUUAUUACCCAUGAGGGUAUGUGUUCGGGUGGGAAUUUAUUUAUAAAGGUAUAGAGAUGAAAACUAUAGUAUCUACUCAAAGAAUACUUGUCGUCAUCCCUAAUUGUGCGUUAACACUCCUCAAUUCAAAAUGACAUAAUAGCAUGCUUGUUGAGGAAAAAUUAUUGCCUUUAUUAUAACAAAAUUAGUUAAUUUUUCUUUUGAGGAAAACUGAAUUAGUUAAUGAAAAUUAAGUAAACGACUAUGAAGAUAAUUUAAAUUUAUACAAAUCGUCACUUGACCAAUCUUAUUGCAAUAAAUUAAUAAAAAGUCAUUUCAAAAAGAUUUGUGGCUGAUCCUUAAAAAAUAAAAUCAUUCCGUGACAAUUUUUUUUUAAUCUUUUUUAAAUCUUUAUUCUAAACCUUCAUCUCACUUCUGUCACAUACAACUCAAACAUCCACGUGCAAUCAAUCUCAAUGAAAGAUUAGACUACAGGAUCUUUUAUUAUUACUCUUUGUGUACACGAACUGAAUUCACUUAAGUGUUGCUUAAAAUUCUAAUUUUAGAGUUUACAUGAAUUGAAAGAACAUAUGUUGACUCACUUAUUGUAACCUUACGUGAAAUAAGACAACAUAUGUGUAUGUAUUGCUUUAAAAACAUUGAAGGUAAUAUUAGAAAUGGUGGUUGGGUCUAACACAACCCUACAAAACCGGCUUGUGAGGUGAUGAUUGCCCCCACUUAUAAACAAAUUGUCAAGCCAACUCCUAACCGAUGUGUGACUCUUAACAGGUAAACUGAAUUUAAGUAGGGUAUAUAAACUGAGUUUGCAAAUUACAACUCUAAGUAAAUUAAGAUACUUGAUAUAUAUGUAAACUGAGUUCACAUAAUUUACGUAAAUCGAGUUUACGUAGGCUAUGUAAAUCGAGUUUACAUGGGCUAAUGUAAAGUGAAGUGCUUAAAACUUGAUACACCGCGUUCUUGAAAUAUUGCAUAAAUGGAGAUGAACACUUAAGGGGUUGAACGAUAGUGAAGACAAGUGUUUGAAUCUAAUGGAGAUGAAUGCUUUUGGUUUCUAGAGAUGGAGAGAACGACACAUUCUAGAUUUGCGAUUGGAUUUUGAAUACCAUUGAAAAUUUAUUACUUUUUAUGGGUAUAUUUUUCAUUUCCGGAUGUAACCAGCAUUUUAGGGGUUAUUCUAGAAAAAAUAUAAAUAUUUUAAUUAGUAAAAUUACAACCCAAUAUUUUUUAAUCUUUGAUUUUCUUAUUUAAGUUUUUUUUAGGGUGUAUUACUAUUUCAAUAUAAUUUUUGUAAUAUCUAAUGUCGUGCAAUUAAACACCACCGUUUAUAUCGUGUGUAUAUAUAUAAAUAUAUUUACCUAAUAAUCAUUACGUACCAAAUCUUGAUGAGAUUAGCAGAAGAUCAUCACGUGGACCAAGGGACUUGUAUGAAAUACAUCCUUCACGAAGAAGAGAUCGCUCGCCAGGUUGUGUGGGGUCAUCUCGAAGGACAUGAUUAUGAUAUUAUGGAUAUAUGAUAUAUAUAAAAUAUACAAAAUAUAUGGGGGUUUAUUGGUAAAAAUAAAAUAAAAUAAUACAUGGGGAUUAAUUAUUGCUAAGAAUAAAUUAUUUUGAAAUACUCCCCUAUUUAUUUUAAAUUCUCUUGACCAAAUUUUUCUUUUUUUAAAAUUCAUUGAAAUAAACCAAAAACAAAUACUCCAUUUCUAACAAAAUAUAGACAUAAAGAGGAUCAAAGCGUCAAAUAGUUUUGCUCUCAAUUUUUUUAAUUUUAGAACAUCUUUUGUUUAUGUUUUCGUUACAAAGAGUAUGCAAAAUUAGACUGACUUAUUUUAAUUCAUUUAUAUAUAAUAUAUAAUAGUAUUUGUGAUAAUGUUUGUUAGAACCUAUGAAAAUAAUUUAUAACAUCUAAGUUUAAUUCCAUAAUUUUUCAGAAUAGUUUAUAGAAACAACUUAAAAAAUAUAUUAAAUAUAAAUGUUUUUUUUUGUUUUAAAAAAGUAUAUAGAAAUAUUUAUAUCGAUAAGCUUUAUAUAUAUAUAUAUAUAUAUAUAUAUUAUGAAGUAAAAAAAUCCUUUAUAUAUUAUAAACGAUUAAUUAUUUUGUUUAUUCAAAUAUCACCUCCUAUAUUUUUUGUUGUUGUUGGAAAGACAUCCAAAAACUAAUCAUUUUUGGUGGUGGUCGGGGUUCAACCCUGUAUAUAUUAUGCAUCGUCCCUACCCUUUGAGUUAAGUUCACGAGGACCCAAAAACUAAUCAUUGAUACGCGAUAAAGAUAUAUAUAUAUAUAUAUAUAUAUAUAUAUAUAUAUAUAUAUAUAUAUUGACAAAAAUAAAUGAUAAGCAUUUAUUCAAAUUGAUAGAGUUCAUCGAUACAAUACAAAUUCGAUAAAAAUAAAAAGGAUGAAUUUGCGAACAAACUCAUAGCAUCCAUGUUAAUAUCAUAAAACAACAAAGUACAAAAACCUACUCAUGUAACUAUAUUCAAGUAUCCGGAAUACCCAUGUCUCCGGAUCUGCAACAUGGACGACGCAAAGUCAUAGAAUGAAUCUGCACUAGUCGAAGCAGAUAUGACAAUCUAAACCGAACAAAUACUUGCAUGAAACAAGAAAGACAAACAAUGUUGCACAAAGACGACUAACAAACCAACGUCGCACUAUGACGACAAAAUCACAAAAUAAAAAACAAAAUAGAUGUGAAAAUCACUUAUUACAAUUAAAAGGAAAGAAAAAAGCGAGUUAGAAGGGUGAUUUAGGGUCAAAAAUUGACUCUAAAUCACCUCUAUUUGAUAAAUAUGGGAGAAGAAACUACAGUUUUAGUGACGUCUCACAAGAAAGAAAGAGAAAAGAGAGUUUAUAGAACGAUAUAGGUAUCUCUAAGUAAAUUUGUCAAAAAAAAAAAAAGUGUCACUAAGUAAAACAUAGAUAAAAUAGAGAAUCAAUAUGGAAAUAUAUAAAAAAAAUGCAAACAAAUAGAAGACCGUAGAUAUGUUAAAUUAAUUUUUAGUUAUAAUUUAUUAAAUAAAUUUUUUAUUAAUUAAAUUUGUCAAAAAUAAAACCUUAUUAAUUUAAAUGACUAAAAAAUGAGUGAUAAUGUGUCAACAAAAUUCACUAAAAUCUCUGGCCAUCACCCCUUUCUUCUUCUUGUCUAUUGAAGAGGGAUGGUUUAGGGUCUAUUCUAAGUUCUAACAUAAAAUCAUUCAUCGGAAUUAUUUUUCCUUCUUUUCUAGUUGAAUAAAUGAUUUCCAUAUAUUUUUUAUUCUUCUUUUGUUUGUUUUUGUGAUUUCAUCGUCUUUACACGACUCUAUUUAUUUUAAUUUUUCGUCUUAAUGUGGUGUUUAUUUGAUCCAAAUAUCCACGAGAUCAUAUGGUUUACGUACUGAUUUAUAUUAUAUUACUUUUUUUGAAAUAAUUUACAUUAUAUUACUAAAAAAAUGAAGACGCAUUGGUGGCAUAUGAACUGGGACCGUCAUUGCUUUAUUAUCAUUGCUAUAUGUAGUUUUUAUUUCAUAUGCUUGGGCCUAUAUUAUAUGGUCAGACUGUAUUAUAUUUGGAUCUUCUUACAGGUAAGCUGAAUUUUAUAAAAUUUGAAUCAUCAAGAAGGUAACGUUUUCCAUAGGACAAACAUGAGUUACUAUAAUUUAGACAUUAUCAAUCCUUUGUUUUUUUCGGAUAAUUUUUUUAUAAAUUCUUCUUAUAUCACAUAUUAUAUUUUUUACAUUUCCCUCCCUCUCUACCUCCCUAUAAAUAGCUUGCCAAUUCCAUCGUUCCCUCAUACCAAGUUCAAUAAUCAAUAAUCAUCAUCCAAUAAUAAGAUGAAGAUUAUUCACAUAGUUUUUCUUUUCUCUUUUCUUUCAUUCACUACUUCCCAAGCUUCUGUCAAUGAUUUUUGUGUAGCAGAUUUAAAGGCUCCAGAUACCCCUUCAGGCUAUCACUGCAAACCCCUAGCAAAUAUCACAUCAGACGAUUUUGUCUUUCAUGGCUUCAAAGCUGGAAACACCAACAACUCUUUCAACGCUGCACUUACCUCCGCAUUCGUCACUGAUUUUCCAGGCCUUAAUGGACUAGGAAUCUCAGCAGCGCGGUUAGACAUAGCGGAAAAUGGUUCAAUUCCAAUGCAUACUCAUCCUGGUGCUACCGAAUUAUUGAUAAUAGUUCAAGGUGAAAUAACCGCUGGAUUUCUGACACCUACCGCAGUUUAUUCUAAGACGUUGAAACCGGGUGAUCUUAUGGUUUUUCCACAAGGGAUGUUGCAUUUUCAAAUUAACACUGGUAAGGGAAAAGCAACUGCUUUUCUUACUUUUAGUAGUGCUAACCCUGGUGCUCAAUUACUUGAUCUUCUUUUGUUUUCGAAUAAUUUACCUUCUCAAUUGGUGGCACAAACUACUUUCCUUGAUCUUGCACAAGUGCAGAAGCUAAAGGCACGUUUUGGUGGAAGAGGGUAGGGAUAUGAUAUUGUUUGGUCAUGAUCAUAACCCACUCUCCUUGUGUAAAUGUUUAUUCCAAUAAUCACCUAGUGGUGGAUUUGAUUGUGUGUCUGUGUUAUUUUAUUUUAUUCUAUGUUUUAGCUAUUCCAAAUGUUAUGAUAUAUGGUUACUUGUGAUAAUGAAGUAAUAAAUUGUGUGUGAUACAUUUCUUGGUUCCUCUUUCUAUCUCUCAACCUGUCUCCUAAUUUUUUUGUUGAAUUAUGGCAACAUUUAAAAUUGAAUUGAAGAUUGAAUGAGCACGACCUGGAGAUUAUGAUUUAAUUAGCUCAAUCACUUGAAUCACAAUUGAACUAAAUGAUUAAUCUAUAAAUAAAAAAAGUAAUUGCAAAAACAAAUCUUAUUAAAUUAUUACGAUUCAAUCGGUUCAACCUUAUUCAAAAUGACUUCGAUGCGACUAUGAUUUCUAACCCAUUUUAUUUUAGAUUUAACUAGUUGAACUAAUAAUUUAAUAGAAUAUGCAACUUAGACUUAUUUACCAUUUUUGGGUGUUAGAAGUUAGAAAAUUUUACAUGAUGUGGAUAACAUCACAAUACAAUUCAAAGUAGUGGGCUAUAAUUUAUGAGAAAUGAUAUUUGAACAAUAAUUUUUAACAACUUUUGUGACAACUUUAUCUCUCAUACUCACAUUAAUUUUUUACUCUCUCUCUAUUGCUUUGGUUUUUGUGUCACUAUCUCAUUUCUUUUGCAAAAUUUUGAUUGUCACAAAAGUUGUCACAUGUAUGGAUGUUCAUAUAACACAACUCAUAAUUUAUUCAUUAAAACCUUACUUAUAUAUCAACAAGCAAAACUAGGCGUAAGACGAUUGAGUCAGCCUCUACUUGGUAGUUGGUUCUAAUCUCAUUGCCAUUGCUUCGGUGCAUCAACCUCGAGAGUGUGGAAACGGUAAAUUGGUUUGCGAGUACUGAUUCGCGGUAUUUUAAUGAAUUUGUUUGCGCAAAAUCGUGAGCAAUUCAUAGCAAAGUGCGUACGUGACAGAAGUAUAAAACAAAUCAAACAAGUUUAAUUCAAAUUUCACAUAUUGUAUGUCAAACACAAUAAAUAUCUGACCAACUUGAUAGAAGAGCUCAUCUGCCAUGAACAUGCAGCAACCAUUAGUGCAAACUGUAAAAUUAGGUCAUAGAAAAUUCAAGGCUAAAAUAUGGUUUUAGUCCCUGCAAAUAUGUCUCGUUUUGGUUUUAGUCUCUGUAAAAAGAAAAUUUUGUUUUUGGUCCCUGCUAAAUAAUUUGUUUUUGAAAAUAGUCCCUAGCCCCACUUUUGUGAUGAUUUGCAUACGUGUUACAUUAUAACUGAACCAAUUUUGUAGUUUUUGGUCCCUGCAAAAUAUUUUGUUUUUAAAAAAGGUCCUUGAAUUUUUUUUUUGUUUUUGAAAUUUUUUGCAGGGACCAAAAACAAAAAAUUUUGUUUACAGGGACUAAAACCAAAACGAGGCAUAUUUGCAGGGGCUAAAACCAUAUUUUAGCCAAAAUUCAAAUGCAUAGUAGUGUGUACCACUACCAACCUGGAUGUUGUGCAGGGGCAGCUAAGAAGCUUAUAGUAAAAUGGUCAUAUAGAGAUUAAGGUUCUUGUAUAUGCAAAAACAAUGAUUAUAAAGAGUCAUAUAUUAUAUAUAGGCUUAAAUAAGUAAAAGGUCUCUGUAAGUUGGCGCAUUUUUGGUUUUAGUCCCUGUAAGUUUUUUUGUUGCGAGACAAACCCUGUAUUUACCAAACGUUUUGGAUCUAGUCCCUGCCGUCCAAUUCCGUGAAAAAAUGAUGACCUUGCUAACGGAGCAAUACGUGGCACUUCGUGAGUUGGCACUAGUUGAUGACUGGGGUUAAUAUAGGGACUAAAACCAAAAAUGCAAUUUAACAUAGGGACUAAUUUAAAAAAACGUAAUCAUCAAUUUUUAAAUUUUAAAAACCAGUCUUUCCUUCUUCUUCCUCUCUCUGUUCUUUCCUUCUUCUUCCUCUAUUUGUUAGUUCUUUAAUUGCUUGUGCCCAAAAACUCAAACCUCAUUUCCUUCAACGAUGUCUUCUCAUUCCAUUUCUCAUUCAUCAUCAAAUGAGUUGCCUAUAAGUGCCAAUUACUUCUUUAAGUUCUGCUUCAUUUGUUCCUCCUUGAGUCUCCAAAAGCAAAUCAGUGAUAAUUACUUCCAUUUGUUUCCCCUCGCGCACCUUAAUCUUAGCCCAUCCAACCAAGUUUGUGUCACCAAAAUCCUCCUUAUCACCAGGCCUUUUCCCAUUAAGAAGUUCCAUCAUUACAACACCAAAUGAAUAAACAUCACCCUUUGCAGUGCACCUGAAACUUUGGUAAUACUUUGGUGGAACAUAUCCAGGUGUUCCUGCUAGUGUGCUUACACUGAGAUGUGUAUCAAGUGCACUUAUUAGUCUUGCCAUUCCGAAAUCCAAGACUCUUGACUCCAUUUCAUUGUCAAGUAAUACAUUGCUUGACUUCAUGUCUUUGUGUAUGAUGUGAGGGAUGCAAUUAUGAUGCAGAAAACAAAGUCCUUUAGCAGCACCUCUUGCAAUCUUCUUCCUUUCUUCCCAUGUUAAAAUUCGUCGAUCACAUGUCUUUAUUCUUCUGUGGAGCAUCUCUUCUAGGCUUCCAUAUUCCAUGUAUUCAUAAACAAGUAGCCUCUCUUCUCCUACUUUGCAGUAUCCCAAUAAAGGGACAAGGUUUUUAUACUUGAUUUUUUCUAAGGUUUCCAUCUUAGCCAUGAAUUCUCUAUCACCUUGGCAACUCAGUCGAAUGAGCUUCUUUAUCGCGACACAUGUUCCGUCUUUGAGUGUGGCCUUAAACACUUCACCAAAACCACCACAACCAAUGAGGCUUGCUGCUGAGAAGCCAUUGGUUGCUUCAAUCAACUGUGAGAAUUUAAGCUUUCUCAAUUACCUCUGAAAUGUUGCAAUAUUAAUGCAUAAUGGCUCUUUCUCUUUAUCAAUUUUCCAUGUUGUAGCAGCAUGACAUGCGAAUUGGAGAUGAACAUCCUCAUAAUUUUUCUACAACCACAUAUUGACAACUCAUUUGAUGAUGAUUGACAAAUGGAAUGAGAAUACAUUGUUCCAUGAAAUGAGUUUUUGGUGUUAGGGCGCAAAGCUAUCGAAGGGUGGGAAUGGCAGAAAUGAAGAAGAGAGAAAUAACAUAGUGAGGAAGAAGGUGGAAAUAAUAAGUUUUAAAAUUCAAAUUUUGAUGAUUAUGUUUUUUAUUUUCAUCCCUAUGUAAAUUUGCAUUUUUGGUUUUAGUCUCUCUAAUAACCAAUUGCCAACUCAUCAUAUGCCACAUAUUAGUCCGUUAGCCAGCGAAGCGUUUUUUUGACGGAAACGGACGGCGGGGACGAAUGUCAAAAUGUUAAGUAAAUACAGGGGUUGUUUCGCAACAAAAAAAGAUACAGGAACUAAAACAAAAAAUGCGCGAACUUACAGGGACCUUUUUCUUAUUUAAGCCUUAUAUAUAUAUUGUUCAUCUUCAAAAUGUCACGACGACAACGUAAAUUAAUGCGGCACUGCAAAAAUAAUAUCACUAAACACAAACUGAAACAAAUUUCUAGGGAGAUAUUCCUGAUGGCAGUUGCAUCGUUCAAGACAGAAGUAAUUGUUCUUUAACUUAUUUUCUAAAUACGCAUACAAUUGUAAAACACAGUCAAAUUUUAUUGAGUGAAAUUAUGGUUGGAACGUGAUGGAGAUUUCCAUUCCUCCAAUUCUCUUCGUACACCUCUCUUGUUGUACCCAAUUUCUUCGAAGGCCUUUAGGGAUGGUGCUGUUCGUUCAACGGUGUUACUGCCAAUACAAAAGAUUAACAGUGUUCAAUAAAAUCCUAUAUGUUAGGAAACAAAGUGCUGAAGAAGAAAAAUAAGCACAAUCACAAUAUAAGAAUAUAAUGUUAGGAAACAUGGUAUCCAUGAAAAGAAGGAGAGAAAACUAAGAAACUCUUUCUAUUGAUGAAAAUGGAAUAUUACAAAAUGAGAAAAGUACCCUCUAAUGGGGUGGUUACAAGUUAUUUAUACUACUCUCUACUAGGACUAAUAUGCUACUAAUCUAUAUCUCUAAUAGUCCCCCUCAAGUUGGAAGGUGUUCAAAACACUUCCAACUUGAAAUGAGAAAAUACAAGGAAAGAUGCCAGAAAUACAUUGGCCAAGAACAUAGCAACAAUCAAAGGCUUAUCCAACAAGAGGAAACCACAACUCAAGGUGUAAUCACCUUGGAGGAAGAAGCAGCAAACCAACGCUUAACCACCAUCCGGUAGAAGCCAAUCAUCAACAAAGCCUUAAAAGGCACAAUGCUUAACCAUCAAGAGUUCUCAAUAACUCAAGACAGAAGCACAAGAAGAAGAAGAAAAUGACGCUUAACCAUCCUUGGACAGAAGCACAACGACGCUUAACCAUUCAUGACAGAAGCUUAUCAACAUAGCUUAACCAUCAUGAACAGAAGCACAAGACAAGAAGAGUAAGGAUAUCUAAAAUCAAUGAUGAUCUCCAAAAGAAAAAGUGCAAGGAAGGGCCAAAGUUUACAAUGGAAGGAGGUCAUAUGUUGAACAAACUGCACAUCAAAGGUACCAUGAAGCAACAAGACCAAGGUUCCAAAGUUAAAAAAGAGAUGCGCUCCAAUGCCGAGCCGAGACAAGAAAAACCAAAUGCAAGCCAAUAGAGAUGCAUAGCCAUGUGAGGUGUCUUCAAACCAUAGAAAACAAAUCCAUGUUGAUGCAUUCAAACCAUAGGCCAACAAAUCAAUACUUCCAACAAUGAAGCUUAAGAAAAUACCAACAUAGCCAAAACCAGAAAAAAAAAAAUGCAGCAGUAAUGCUGCACAAAAUAAAACCAAAAUGCAGCUAAGAGACAUCAAAAUGAACUCAAGAAGAUGCUUUAACGGUCUGCCCAAAAAUUCAUCAACGAUCCAGGAACAAUCCCAUGCUUCAGAUAUCAAACCAAGGCUUCCAAAAACGAUCCUAAGCCAUCAAGAAAUAAAUCCAUAGCCAAUGAACAAAAUGCAGUAGCAAUAUGAAGCACUGUACUGUGUUGGAAUAGCAUGCAACACUAACAAAAUGCCUAAUCAGCCUCACAAUUUCAUUUGUUCCUUUCACACACAAGAAUAUAGAGAAACCAUCUGAACAGCUUGGAGUGUACUAAAGGCUUCUUCAAUUACUAUUCAAAAAAUGCUUGACCAUAUCAGAUCCAACACCAUGAUAAGCAAUCAAAUGCCAAACAAAACUUAGCCCACCAGUAUGCAAUAUCUAUAAGACUACCAAGUGUGAUAGCAACACCAUAAAAGAAACAAAGAAGUAUGCCAAAACCAAUGAUAUCCAAAGAGAAUGUAGAACAAACAACCAAGCUGUAAUUGGAUCCCAAAGAAUGCAUCAAAAAAACUAUACGUGAAAGGAAGAUCCUUACAUAACACUGCAACAACAUAGCCAUACACAUAAGUCUGGGUCCGCCAAUCUUCAAUCAUAAUAUAAGAGUACCUUAACAUGAACUGCUCCAAAAAUGUAGUAGUGAUGAAGAGGUUCACAAGAAAAUGCACGCAUAGACCAAUAACGUCAUGCAGCAGUCAACAACAGCACCUCAAAGCAAGUCCAAUGCAAUGUUGGAUCAGAACAAAUUGCAGUGUUACCAACAACCAUCACCAUCAAACUGAACGUAAUAUGCAAUAAGGACCAAAAAACACCAAAAUAUCAAGGUAAUAGAAUCCAACUCUAUCUGCACCACAUGCACAAUUGUAUACAACCAGAGAAAAUGAACUAAUUGCAGCCUUGUCUAAAUAGCAGAACAUAGAACUUCAUCAAAAGAAUCAUGAACCAAGAAUCAAUAUGUUUGCAGUGAGGACUUGCUACAAACAUCUUGUGAGCACAAUAGUCAUAAACUGCAGUUACAAUAAAACUCGCUUAUGAGAAACCGAAUUCUCAAUACAAUACAAUAAUGAAACAGGGAAGAAGAUGAAAUAUCAACGACACAUAGAAUCAAUGCGAAAAAGACGACUCUGAGCCGAAUCGAAAAUUUUAAUGAAGAGGAAUCGCAAAAAAAAAUAAAAUUGAAUCACGGAUUCGAAUCGAAACUGGAAAUUGCGAUCGAGUAAGAAUUCGAUCAAGACUUUUGAAUCACGUGGGAAAUUGAACCAAAACUAACAGAACAAAGAAGAACGAACAAAGAAAAUUGAUCGAGAGAGAAAAGGAAAUCGCCAUUGUAACUGAAUCGCAAACCCUAAGAUUUGGGAAAAAGACACAAACGGAAUCACGAAGCAAUCGAUCGAACAAAAAGAUGUAAAAGAAUCGAAUGAAAUUGAGAUGCAGAUCAAAAGAGAAAUCGAUCGAACAAAUCAAUAACAGAAAAACGAUUCGAGUACAAGACAAAGGAAAAUGAAGAAAAUGAAGUGAUAAAAGAGAAAAAUCAGAACGAAGAAGAAAAGGAAAACAACACGAGAAAAAUGAACUUUUCUCGAGAAAAUGCAGCGGAAAAAUUGUUCAAGGUGGAUACCAAUCAUGCUCUGAUACCAUGUUAGGAAACAUGGUAUCCAUGGAAAGAAGGAGAGAAAACUAAGAAACUCUUUCUAUUGAUGAAAAUGGAAUAUUACAAAAUGAGAAAAGUACCCUCUAAUGGGGUGGUUACAAGUUAUUUAUACUACUCUCUACUAGGACUAAUAUGCUAAUAAUCUAUAUCUCUAAUAUAUAACGUGGAAACUUUAAAACUGGAUAAAAAACCACGACCGUUGUCUAAACCGACAACCAGAAAAUGAUUACUAUGGGAUUUUUUUUACAACACAUAGACUUCUCUCACUCUCACCCCAAUGCUCCAGUACAAUCAUACUCUCACAAAGCAAAUAUUUAAACUAAGUCAGAUAUAAGCUUAAAGUGCUACUGACUGGUGCAUCUACAAACAAAGAACCUAGGUCCAAUAUAUAGUCAUGGUCCUCCCAUUGCUUCACCACACUAAGCGAUGUAGGACUUUUCCAAUAGCAAAUAUUUUUUAACCUCCUUAUUUAUUUAAGAAACUUGACAAUCAAACCCAACAAUCUCCACCUUGAUUGUACGAGUUUCAUCUUUCGCUUCCAUUGUUUAUACUGACAAUCAUACUCCACCAUAAAGAGUAUACUUCACUUGAAACUAGACCUUUCCAAGAAUUUCUCCACGUCAAAACCUUGCUGAAAGAUUACGGUGCAACUCCCAUGUUGGAUUUCAGGAAGUUCUUCAGCCAUCGACACAUCUCACCACACACCUUGCAUUAAUUAAUUUCUUAAACAAUUUAUAAUUAAUUUGUAUCUCGUUUAAAGACUACAAAAUUUCAUUGUGAAGGUUCUUAUCAUGUUCUAGUCAUGCCUACAAAAUUAGGGAACUAAAUUUGACUUGUGAGUAUACGCUUACGCGGAACAAAAUUUCAAUUUUGCAUGUUUUGAUUGAAAAAUCAAAAUAAAUUUAAACGACUUCGAAAUGCAAUGAAACUUUACAGAUCCGUUUUAUGUAUUUUUUUAUAGAUGUCUAUGCAAAUAAUGAGCUCAAAAUUCGAUUUAUAGGUCGAGAUUUCCAUUGUUUUGUUUUUUGAGCUUUUGACACUUUAAAAAUUCAUAAUUAAUUUGUCGUAUGUCGAAAAUUUAUAUAUUUUUAGUGUAAAGCCAUAUUUUAACAUUCUUAACUCGCCUCUAACAAAUCAUGAAAAAAAUUGAAUCUCUCGGUUUCUUUUUUGGACUUCGCAUAUAUUACAGAGUUAUAAAUAAUAAAAAUCUUGAGUUACAUGGUAAGAAUACAUGUUAUUUAAUUACAGGGCCAAUUUUCAGACUUCACGUAUAUUAUAUGAUCAAUUUCAAUUAAUAAUCUUAUUUUAAAUUGUACUUUUGUUGACUAAAUGAUAAAACCUAUUUUAUUUCGAUUUUUUUAAUUAAAAUUAAAAUUAAAAAAAAAGUUUCAAUUUAUGAUUGUUGAUAUAUUAUGUCGCAUGUGAAUUUGCGAUAAAUUUUUUGCCCAAUCUCCAUAAAUUUCCAGACUCCGCCACUGUAUAGUACCUACUCAAAGAAUACUUGUUAUCAUCCCUAAUUGUGCGCUAACACUCCUCAAUUCAAAAUGACAUAAUAGCAUGCUUGUUGAGGAAAAAUUAUUGCCUUUAUUAUAACAAAAUUAGUUAAUUUUUUUUUUGAGGAAAACUGAAUUAGUUAGUGAAAAUUAAGUAAAAGACUAUGAAGAUAAUUUAAAUUUAUACAAAUCGUCACUUGACCAAUCUUAUUGCAAUAAAUUAAUAAAACGUCAUUUCAAAAAGAUUUGUGGCUGAUCCUUAAAAAAUAAAAUCAUUCCGUGACAAUUUUUUUUAUUCUUUUUCAAAUCUUUACUCUAAAUCUUCAUCUGUCACACACAACUAACUCAAACAUCCAUAGACGUGCAAUCAAUCUCAAUGAAAGAUUAGACUACAGGGUCUUUUAUUAAUACUCUUUGUGUACACAAAUUGAAUUCACUUAAAUGUUGUUUAAAAUUCUAAUUUUAGAGUUUACAUGAAAUGAAAGAACAUAUGUUGACUCACUUAUUGUAACCUUACAUGAAAUAAGACAACAUAUAUGUAUGCAUUGUUUUAAAAACAUUGAAGAUAAACUGAAUUUACGUAGGGUAUAUAAACUGAGUUUGCAAAUUAUACAACUCUACGUAAAUUAAGAUAGAGAAUGGAGAGAGAAAAAGGAAGAUAGAGAAUAAGAAGAUAAUGUGAGUAUGAGAGAGAAAGUUGUUAAAAUGUUUUUUUAAAGAAAAAAGUUGUUAAAAUGUUGUCACAAAGUGGAUGUACAAAUAUCAUUUCUCUAUAUAAAAUAUACAAAAUAUAUGGAGGAUUAUUGAUAAAAAAAAACAUGGGGAUUAAUUAUUGCUAAGAAUAAAUUAUUUUGAAAUACUCCCCUAUUUUUUUUUUUAAAUUCUCUUGACCAAAUUUUUCUUUUUUUAAAAUUCAUUGAAAUAAACCAAAAACAAAUACUCCAUUUCUAACAAAAAUAUAGACAUAAAGAGGAUCAAAGCGUCAAAUAGUCUUGCCCUCAAUUUUUUUUACUUUUAGAACAUCUUUUGUUUAUGUUUUCGUUACAAAGAGUAUGCAAAAUUAGACUGACUUAUUUUAAUUCAUUUAUAUAUAAUAUAUGGUAGUAUUUGUGAUAAUGUUUGUUAGAACCUAUGAAAAUAAUUUAUAACAUCUAAGUUUAGUUCCAUAAUUUUACAGAAUAGUUUAUAGAAACAACUUAAAAAUAUAUUAAAUAUAAAUGUUUUUUUUUUGUUUUAAAAAAGUAUAUAGAAAUAUUUAUAUUGAUAAGCUUAUAAUAUAUAUAUAUUAUGAAGUAAAAACAUCCUUUGUAUAUUAUAAACGAUUAAUUAUUUUGUUUAUUCAAAUAUGACCUCCUAUAUUAUUUUUUUUUUUGUUGGAAAGACGUCUAAAAACUAAUCAUUUUUGGUGGUGGUCGGGGUUCAACCCAGUAUAUAUUAUGCAUUGUUCCUACCCACUGAGCUAAGCUCAUGAUGACCCAAAAACCAAUCAUUGAUACACGAUAUAUAUAUAUAUAUAUAUAUAUAUAUAUAUAUAUAUUGACAAAAAUAAAUGAUAUGCAUUCAUUCAAAUUGAUAGAGUUCAUCGAUACAAUACUAAUUCGAUAAAAAGAAAAAGAAUGAAUUUGCGAACAAACUCAUAACAUCCAUGUUAAUAUCAUAAAACAACAAAGUACAAAAACAUACUUAUAUGACUAUAUUCAAGUAUCCGGAAUACCCAUGUCUCUAGAUCUGCAACGUGGACGACGCAAAGUCAUAGAUUGAAUCUGCACUGGUCGAAGCGGAUAUGACAAUCUAAACCGAACAAAUACCUGCAUGAAACAAAUAAGACAAACAAUGUUGCACAAAGACGACGAACAAACCAAUGUCGCACUAUGACGGCGAAAUCACAAAAUAAAAAACAAAAUAGAUGUGAAAAUCACUUAUUUCAAUUAAAAGAAAAUAAAAAAGCGAGUUAGAUGGGUGAUUUAGGGUUAAAAACUGACUCUAAAACACCUCUACUUGAUAGAUGAGGGAGAAGAAACUAGAGUUUUGGUGACGGCUCACAAGAAAGAAAAAGAAAAGAGAAAUUUAUAUAACGAUAUAGGUAUCUCUAAGUAAAUUUGUUAAAAAAAAAAAGUGUCACUAAGUAAAACAUAGAUAAAAUAAAGAGAACCAAUAUGGAAAUAUAUAAAAAAAUGCAAACAAAUAGAAGACUAUAGAUAUGUUAAAUAAAUUUUUAGUUAUAAUUUAUUAAAUAAAAAUUUUAUUAAUUUAAUUUGUCAAAAAUAAAACCUUAUUAAUUUAAAUUGACUAAAAAAUGAGUGAUAAUGUGUCAACAAAAUUCACUAGAAUCCCUAGUCGUCACCCAUUUCUUCUUCUUGUCUAUUGAAGAUGAAUGAUUUAGGGUCAAUUCUAACCUAAAAUCACCCAUCCGAAUUGUUUUUCUUUCUUUUCUAGUUGAAUAAGUGAUUUCCAUAUAUUUUUUUAUUGUUCUUUCGUUUGUUUUUGUGAUUUCAUCGUCUUUGCAUGACUCUGUUUAUUUUGAUUUUCCAUCUUAAUGUCGUGUUUAUUUGAUUGAGGUUGAAAUAUUAGCUUUGAUUAGGUGCAAAUCCGAAGACAUGAGUAUUCCAGAGAUUUGAAUAUAGUCAGGUUUGUAGGCAUAAAUACUUUGCAGUUUUAUGUUAACAUGAAUGUUGUGAUUUAUCCUUUUUGUUUUUAGAGACUUUAAAUUUAUAUUAUAUCGAUAUACUCUAUAAAUUAAAAUGAAUGAAUAUCGUUUAUUUUUUUUAAAAAAAGUCAGCAGAAUUAAAAUACUAUGAUUUGCUAAUUUGCUCAUUCACCUAUAUUGUUUAGUUGGUUUAUAUUAGUAAGUUGGAAUAUAUUAUUAUCCAUGAGAUCAUAUGGUUUACGUACUGAUUUAUCUUAUAUUAUUUUUUUUGAAAUAAUUUACAUUAUAUUACUAAAAAAAUGGAAUCGUAUUGGUGGCAUAUGAACUGGGACCGUCAUUGCUGUAUUAUCAUUGCUAUAUGUAGUUUUUAUUUCAUAUGCUUGGGCCUAUAUUAUAUGGUCAGACUGUAUUAUAUUUGGAUCUUCUUACAGGUAAGCUGACUUUUAUAAAAUUUGAAUCAUUAAGAAGGUAACGUUUUCCAUAGGACAAACAUGAGUUACUAUAAUUAGACAUUAUCAUUCCUUUGUUUUUUUCGGAUAAUUUUUUAUAAAUUCUUCUUAUUUCACAUAUAAUAUUUUUUACAUUUCCCUCCCUCUCUACCUCCCUAUAAAUAGCUUGCCAAUUCCAUCGUUUCCUCAUACCAAGUUCAAUAAUCAAAAAUCAUCAUCCAAUAAUAAGAUGAAGAUUAUUCACAUAGUUUUUCUUUUCUUUUUUCUUUCAUUCACUACUUCCCAAGCUUCUGUCAAUGAUUUUUGUGUAGCAGAUUUAAAGGCUCCAGAUACCCCUUCAGGCUAUCAGUGCAAACCCCUAGCAAAUAUCACAUCAGACGAUUUUGUCUUUCAUGGCUUCGUAGCCGGAAACACCAACAACUCUUUCAACGCUGCACUUACCUCCGCAUUCGUCACUGAAUUUCCAGGCCUUAACGGACUAGGAAUCUCAGCAGCGCGGUUAGACAUAGCCGAAAAUGGUUCAAUUCCAAUGCAUACUCAUCCCGGUGCUACCGAAUUAUUGAUAAUAGUUCAAGGUGAAAUAACCGCUGGAUUUCUGACACCUACCUCAGUUUAUUCUAAGACGUUGAAACCGGGUGAUCUUAUGGUUUUUCCACAGGGGAUGUUGCAUUUUCAAAUUAACACUGGUAAGGGAAAAGCUACUGCUUUUCUUACAUUUAGUAGUGCUAACCCUGGUGCUCAAUUACUUGAUCUUCUUUUGUUUUCGAAUAAUUUACCUUCUGAAUUGGUGGCACAAACUACUUUCCUUGAUCUUGCACAAGUGCAGAAGCUAAAGGCACGUUUUGGUGGAAGAGGGUAGGGAUAUGAUAUUGUUUGGUCAUGAUCAUAACCCACUCUCCUUGUGUAAAUGUUUAUUCCAAUAAUCACCUAGUGGUGGAUUUGAUUGUGUGUGUGUGUUAUUUUAUUUUAUUCUAUGUUUUAGCUAUUCCAAAUGUUAUGAUAUAUGGUUACUUGUGAUAAUGAAGUAAUAAAUUGUGUGUGAUACAUUUCUUGGUUCCUCUUUCUAUCUCUCAACCUGUCUCCUAAUUUUUUGUUGAAUUAUGGCAACAUUUAAAAUUGAAUUGAAGAUUGAAUGAGCACGACCUGGAGAUUAUGAUUUAAUUAGGUCAAUCACUUGAAUCACAAUUGAACUAAAUGAUUAAUCUAUAAAUAAAAAAAGUAAUUGCAAAAACAAAUCUUAUUAAAUUAUUACGAUUCAAUUGGUUCAACCUUAUUCAAAAUGACUUCGAU